GCUAAUUUAAAAACCAAAGACAUUUGACAAACUCACAGUCAUCAGGAAAUCCAAGGUCCUUGCCUUGCUUAUAACAAUUGUUGGUUGGAUAAUCAACCUUGCGCUCCAAAACCAGUUGACAAAAAGGUAAGCAUUUACUGGUGACACACUCAUCCAAAUGCCGUCCUCCUAACCGUAAGGUCUUGCAUGGCCUUUACAUACAGAAGACGGACUAAAAUUUAAGAAUACUGCAAUCACCGAGACAGAAAUGCUGAGCACAGGCAUUCAAUCAUUUCCAAUACAGUUUUACACCUCUCUAGCCAAUAGAAACGACUAUAUAACACAGAUAAAUGAACGAAGUAGGAAAUUCACAAACUCACAGCAAAGGCGACAAUAGCGGAGGAAAGGGCGAGGAACCCGUACUUUGCCAUCCCCUCGGAGAUCCCGACGAAGGUGUUAGCAAUCCCAAACAUGAUCCUCCACAACAAGGCGCACACCAACACAGCCACGGCCCCCACGAGGACCAAGUAAUUGCUCCUCAAGAACGACUCCACUUGCAGCCCAAUGGCCUCCCGGUAUUUGCUAAACGUAGAAAGAACCGACAUUGUCGGCUUCUCGAAAAUCUUCUUCGCGAAACCCCCAUUCCCGGAGCUUUGAAACGAGAAAUGCCUGACCCCAUAGCAAUUCAAUCUCAACGGACCGAGUCCCGCCGGCGAGAAGCUCUUGGACGAAGCUUGGCCCGCCCUAGGAGGGAGCACCUCGGACGCGGCGAGAUUACCGAACGCUCUAGACUGGCACGAAUUCCGCGCGGUGCCGGCGGCCGAGCUCGACGGAUAGGAGAGACGAAACGGGCGGGGGAGAGAAGAAGGAGGGAGCGAGGAGCCGGCGGCGGCGGCGGCGGCGGCGGCGGCGGGGGCGGGAUCGACGGCCGCGGUGGCGAAGUGGGAGGAGGAAUACGCGCCGGCGGGGGACGAUUUCGGGAGGUGGAGCUGGUGGUGAUGGCGAUGCAAUCUCAGAACGCCUUGGAGCAAUCGCGAGGAGGGCUUUGACAUCGUAGUAGGCGAUUUGUACGGAAUCGGAGCUCGAACGCCGCUGCUUCGAUGCAGAAUUGAAGGACGCGAGUUUCGCCGGAGACUUGCGGGAUCGGAGGAAAGGAAAGGAGGGUAGUUGACGCGAGGGAAGUGCUCCUCCCGGAGGCAAGCCGGAGCGCAGUCGAUAGCUUGUGAUGUUGUACGGUGCAGUCAGCGGCGAGGGAAGACGACGACGACCAUUCUUUGAUCUCGUCUUCUACGGUUCGAACUUGGGUUUGGGCCGGAAGAGGCCCAAGCCCAAGUUUGAAUUCUAAAGCACCCAAAAUAGGGGUCGCUAUUUCAACUUUCGCAUAGAUUUUAUCUACAAUUUAUAAUCUACCAAUUGUAACAAGUUUCUCAUUUUUUUGAACCUGAAAUCCAUCCUGUCAUAGAUUCCACAAUUUACUCACGUUUCACCUUUAUCAUAAAUCAAAUGAUUUCAAUGAAUAAUCAUUUUUAAUGAUUUACACUUACUAUUAAUGCACUAAUCACGAUUUAUUUUUAAACACGUUAAUAAUAUAAACCAUUAAUAAAGUAAAAGUCUUGAUCAUAAUAUGGAAGCUCAAACUAGUAGUUCCAUAUUAUAUACUCAUCAUCGGAUGUUAUGGAACAUCACAAAAUUGUGUGGAAACAUAAACUAAGAAAAACACAAAUUUAUUCAAUUUUUUUGAAUUUGAAAUCUACCUUACAUAUUUUGAAAUUUGGAACCGGACAAGUUCCUUUGUUAUUUUUCUUUGUGUGAACCCAAGAAGCGAGUUCUGGCAGUUCAUGAGACCUCCGCAUGCCAACAGCUACAAGCUCAAUGUAUAUGCAAGUUUUUGGCAAAAACACUAGAAGCACCGGUUUCAAAAAGCGAUAGGAAAGCAAAGCCCUUCCUUCCAAUCCAAGCGUCCUGCUUAGAUGAGAACCUGAUAUGUUAGAAGUUCAAAAGUGCAUCAGAGUGACAGAGAGAAGGUCAUCAACCAUGAAUCGAGGAGUCUGGCUCCUCACACUAGCGCACGCUUUGAUUUCACGCGAUUUGUUUGCAUGGAUGGAAAGAUUGACGCACCCCGCGAGGUGAAGUCAAUUGACAAGUAUGACGAAGAAGGGACGAGGCCACAAAUAGAUCAGAAACCAGCAGCUCCAACGUUGCAUUUAUGGUCUAAAAGCUUGAAUCUAGUAGCUCCUCCGAUGCUUAAUCCCAUUUCGUGGAUAGGUGAAUUAGAACUGCUACAAGGGCAUGGUGAUCGCAAAUUUGCCGGUUCAAACAUGACAGGAAAUUGAGGAUAGACAUAGCCUCAUUGCCUUAUUAGCAAACGUGAGUGAACACAAAAUUGGAGUUAAUCUAUCUAGUUUCGAAUCCAUUUGCCUACUUCCCUACUUGUCCCCUCAUGAUCCAAGAGUUGGAGGCCUGUCGUUGUUGAGGCCCAUUUAAAUCUAUCCGUACCAGCACUCAUUAACAGGGAAGAGACGUCAAGUAGAAAUCAUAUUUUGGCUGAAAAGAGAGAGAGAGAGAGAGAGAGAGAGAGAGAGAGAGAGAGAGAGAGAGAGAGCAAAAAGCAAAGUUCAGCCCGAAAGAUACAAUAGAAAGAGUGGUGUUUUGAGAAAUAGACCCCGUUGAAUGCUAAUUACAUUAUAUGAAGAAGCAAACUCAUGGAAGGGAAGAGUUGAAUCCGAGCACAAGUUCUAAACAAACCCAAAAUGAAAAACUAAAGGCAAAGAAAGAGAGCACAACAUUGCUCAUUUCUUACACGCUUCUUGACAAUCUCAGUCUCUUCAACUUGGCUACCUUCACUACUAUAGCCACAUGUGCCUUGUGUGCUGCUUGAUCCGCAAAGCCGAAAUAUGCUUGUCUCCAAUCCUUCUUGAACUGCAAAACUCCGAAAAAGCCCCAGAACCCAAUCGUAAAUCCAAGCAUUAUGACCGCAUAGAACAACGUCCGAUCAAGCUUAUCCUCUUCAUGUGUAUCUUUAGGGCGAGGGACUUUCUGUGGUUGAGGCGUCUCGGCACUGAAGCAUUUCUUUCUCAAAAGAUCACCACAGAGUAGGGGAUUGCCAGCAUAAAUGGAAGGAUCGUCGAGUGUUUGGAUUUGAUUCCCUUUUGGAAUCUGCCCCAUAAGGUCAUUUUGCGAAAGGUUGAGGUGAGCUAGGGAUGUUAAGGCUGAAAUGCCCUGUGGAAUUAUCCCUGAGAGAUGGUUGUUUGAAAGAUCCAGAGACUCGAGCGACCUCAUAUUCCCAAUGCCAAUGGGAAUAUCUCCAGAGAGAUGGUUAUGAGACAAGUUCAAGCCAUGCAAUCCUGAGAGGAAAGAAAGUUCUUCGGGGAUUGACUCGUUCAAAAAGUUGCUAGAGAGAUCCAAAUUGACCACAAGUUGCAGAACAAUUUUGGUGUACUCGUUAUAUCUUCCCUUUAAGAUCUCAACCACGUGCUCUUGACCCCAAAGCAUACCGUAGCCUUCGAAUGACAAGAAAAUUAUAUCUUGUAUAUGAGUGACAGCCACGGAUCCAAAUGAAUUGGUUUGAUUCAAGUUGAUCAUGCCGCUCAUGUUGCCAAGACAACGUGGGAUCAUUCCCGUCAAAUUGUUCACUGCCAUAUCUAAUAUUUUCAAUUUUGAUAGUGAACAGAGCUGUGGAGGGAUAUUGCCGACAAACCUAUUCUCUCGUAGCCUCAAGAUCAACAAGGAGUGAAAGCUUCCGUCAAACCAUGUGGGAAUGCUUCCAGACAAAUUAUUCUCUCCAAGGUCUAAAAUUACUAGACUUGUGCAAUAAUAUAAAGCUUGAGGAAGCUCCCCAUUGAGACGGUUUCUGUUCAAGUGUAGGGUGGUAAGGCGGGGCAAUGAUCCAAGUGAGCUAGGGAUUACUCCGGACAAUUUAUUGAAUGACAAAGUCAAGAAUAAUAAAGAAUCCUUCCAACAGUCUGGAAUACUACCAGAUAGGCUAUUAUUGGCAAGAUUUAAAACAAUCAACUCCAUGUCGCAUAAUGAUGACGGUAGAGUACCACUGAUUAGGUUGUCAUUGAGAUACAGAGUACGUACCUGGUACAUAAUACCAAUAUCUGUUGGAAGAGAACUGGAGAUCAAGUUGUGUGAGAGAUCUAAAUAGGAACAAUCAGUAGAUAUGUUGGGCAAGGGGCCAGUAAUCUGAUUGUAAGAUAGAUCAAGCCAGGAAGACGUCAAGUUGGUUGACAAUUUUGGCAAGGUCCCAGUAAUCUGAUUGUAAGAUAGAUCGAGUCCAAAUAAUGUCAAAUAUGCUGACCAUUCUGGCAAGGGCCCGAUAAUCUGAUUGUGAGAUAGAUCAAGAAUAUGAAUGUAAGAUUGAUCUGAUAUUGCUAGUAUAAACACCUAGAGGGGGGGUGAAUAGGCGCACAAACAAUUUUUCUCAAAUACGGAAGCAACAGAUUGAAAUACGAUCGAUGUAGAGAGAGAAGAGAAAAUCAAACACAGGAUUUAUAGUGGUUCGGCUUAUUCCAAGCUUACGUCCACUCUUCCGCACUGACAGCCCACCGGCUGGAUUUUACUAUGAUCAAAAGAGAAGAUACAGCACAGCUUUGCCUUGAUUCCACAGUGUAGAUGUUCUAUCACACCUCCUCAAGGUCUCUCACAAAUAUAGACUCUCUUUUGUAUACAAGUAUUCGCUCAAGAGAUUUAUCUAAACAAAUAGGAGCUUCAAACUUUGGAAUUCUUCUAUUACGCACACUCUUUAAACAACUAAGAACGUCUUCCUUAUAUACUCCUUUAUGCCAUCAUACCCGUUGGCACUUUCCAAAGGAAUUCCUCCAAUCAAUCCGUUGGACGGAAUCAAUUAGGAAGAUCGUUCGAGCUAUUAAAGGAACGUGUUGAUAGCCCAUCAAUCCUGUUCGCCCAUACAAUCAGGAUCUCGAUUUCCAUAAGUAGAACCUUCCAAUAAUAUUUAGACAAUCAUCGAAUCUUCAGUCAUUGAAUCAAUCUUGAUCAAUCAAAGGAUUCUGAUACGUCUUCUCCAGCCACGAGAUCUUCUCCAGAUGAUAAGGUUAAAUCCUGAACAAAACAUCCAGUUCGGGAUAACCUUUCUUCAACGGAUCAAUGACUGUCAAUGAGGAUAGACUUUGAGUCUUGAGUUUGGCUGUCCGGAAGUCUGCAGACUUUAAACCAACAGAGUCUGCUGACCUUCAGACUAGAUUGACGGAAACAUUUUGUCAACUUCAAAACUCUUCACGAGGAUUUCUCCAACAUGAUCGAGUUUGAAAAACAUCAAGUUGGCUGGCCAUUCUGGUAAGGGCCCAGUAAUUUGAUUGUAAGAUAGAUUGAGCUCGAAAAACGUCAAGUUGGCUGGCCAUUCUGGCAAGGGCCCCGGAAUCUGAUUGUAAGAUAGAUCAAGCUCGGAAGACGUCAAGUAGGCUGGCCAUUCUGGCAAGGGCCCCGUAAUCUGAUUGUAAGAUAGAUCGAGCUUGGAAGACGUCAAGUUGGCUGGCCAUUCUGGCAAGGGCCCCGUAAUCUGAUUGUAAGAUAUAUCGAGCUCGGAAGACGUCAAGUUGGCUGGCCAUUCUAGCAAGGGCCUCGUAAUUUGAUUGUAAGAUAGAUCGAGCUCGGAAGACGUCAAGUUGGCUGGCCAUUUUGGCAAGGGCCCCGUAAUCUGAUUGUAAGAUAGAUCGAGUUGAGAAAACGUCACGUUGGUUGGCCAUUUUGGCAAGGGCCCAGUACUAUGAUUGUAAGACAGAUCGAGCUCGGAAGACGUCAAAUUGGCUGACCAUUUUGGCAAGGGCCCAGUAAUCUGAUUGUAAGAUAGAUUGAGCUGAGAAAACAUCACGUUGGCUAGCCAUUCUGGCAAGGGCCCAGUAAUAUGAUUGUAAGCUAGAUCAAGCUCGAAAAACGUCAAGUUGGCUAGCCAUUCUGGCAAGGGCCUAAUAAUCUGAUUGUAAGAUAGAUCGAGCUUGGAAAAUGUCAAGUUGGCUAACCAACUCGGUAAGGGCCCAAAAAGGGAAGCAUUGGAGAGUGUGAUAUAUGUGGCGUUCACUUGUGUCUGAAUCCAUUGGGGAACUUUAGCUUCGAAUUUACAAGAGUUCAUCCUGAUAAACACUAGUUGGAAAGGGGGUAUCCAGUUGGGUUUUACCUUAAAACUCAAAUUAUUAUUGUUAUCGAUCUGCAAAUCCUUGAGCCUUGACAAAUUAGAAAAAUGGAUUUCAGUAAUCACACCUUCUAAAUGAUUACUGUAAAGAAGCAACUCUUGCAAAGCCCCCAAUUUCCCUAAUGACUUAGGAAUAUGCCCCCCCAAUUGAUUGCUAGAAAGAUCUAACGAUCUCAAUGAUGAUAAUCGACCUAUAAAUGGUGGAAUGGUCCCAUUCAAUCCAUUAGCCGAAAGAUCUAGUGUUUCCAAGUUUGACAAUGAUCCAAUGACACUAGGGAUUGGACCGGAGAAGAAAUUGUAGGAAAGCAUGAUACUUUUUAAGUUUGUGAAGUGCUCCAACCAGUUGGGCAGAGCACCCUUAAGAUGACUUGAACAUAUCUCUAGAUUCUCUAAGCUAUUCUCGAUGAGUCCCGAUGAAUUUCCUUGGGUUGUCGAAAUCUCUUCUCCAAUUUCGUUAUAAUUCAAACACAAUGACUUGAGAUACCGCAUAUUCUUUAAGAAUGAGAAUAACCCUCCUUCAAUGCUCUCAAAAAAUUUUUCCUUGAGAUUGAGAUGAGCGAGGCUUGCAAACUUGUCAAACCACAUGGAAAUUAAUGAGUUGAAAGAGUUAUAUGAAAGAUCAAGAUGCUGAAGAGAAGUCAUGUUUUGAAACAAAGUGUUCGGGAUGGGACCUUCAAAAAGAUUAUUCGAAAGAUCGAGGUAUUGAAGAUGAACGAGAGAAGUAGAAUUGGCCUAGUGAUUAGAAAACAAAUGAAAAUUUUGUAAUUCACAGCCUGAUAAACUCAAAUGCGAUAAAUUUGGGAGCGUGUUGAUCACCUGCAUGAGGACUCUUUCAUUCGAAAUCAUUGAGCCACUCAUGUCGAGGUACUUUAAUGAUUGAAGAUGAGAAACCCACAAGAUAUCAUCUACAACCAACUUUUUUUUUUCACAACCGAGAUCGAGGACUUCCAACUUGGUGAGAUUUCCCAAUUGUUGGGGAACUGUUCCAUGGAAGUUGGCAAAAGAUAGAUUGAGGUACCUCAAUCGUUUAAUUGAACCGAUGAAUUUAGGUAUUCUUCCAUGAUUGAAAUUGAUCCCGCUUAAGUCCAAGUGGUUCAAAUAUCUCAAGUGGAGCAAAGAAGAGUUCAACUCACCCCCAACUAGGAGAAGCAUCGGUCCCAUGGGACUAGUUUCAUCUUUUGUUGGUUGGGGCAAUAAUUGGAGAUCGAUGACAUGACCAUAUACUCCAUCACAAAUCACUCCUUCCCAUUUGCAGCAAUCUUUGUCUUCCCAUGAAGAGCUAGAUGGAUCAACGAGGCUUUGUCGGAGCUGGAGCAGAGCCUCUCUUUCUUGCUCUCUGCAAAUGGACAUUGAAUUGUUACAAAAGCACACACAUGAAUUAUCUAAAAUAAGUAAUAGAGUCACUAGUGUGAACACUUGGGAACAAUAUCUGCCCAUGAGCAAUGAGAGAGAGGAUGAAAUCAUGUUUUAGAGUGGAGAUUUUGAGGGUCCUCUAAUCAAACCCAAAUCAUUUAAGGGGGAGAUUUCUCUUUUAAUGUACAUGCACCUUAUGCCCAUGCAUGUAUAUCAUGUAUAUGCAACGAAUUUAAGGUCCACAUAUGAUAGUCGUUGUCGGGGAGAAAAGGCUCAUCUGUUCUUGUAGUUGGAGUUUGUAAAUUGAUGAUCAGAUCCCAUCUAGACGAGGUGUCCCUGUCAACCUGGAAGCAAGAGCAAUGCCAUUACGGAGAUUACGGACAAGCCCGUCCAGUAUUUUGCAGUGCCAGUCUUGGAUAAAGUCAAGUCUUUUGGGUCUUUGUCGUUAUUCAUAUUAACUUAUUAAGGUCAUUUCUCGAUCUACAUUGCGAGUUUCCAAAGACACCGUUUGUUUUACGUUUUUAUCUUAACUAGAUUACUGACUCUAGAAUAACGAGGCUAACUAGUCUUCUUGCUCAUAAGGAUGAUGGUAAUGUACCAUUCAUCGGGAUUUCACGGAAACACAAUAGAAGAGGUAAAGAGAUUUAAGCUGUUGGAGAGAUCUUCAUCGAAACUGCCAAAAAGGUACAUACAUUGGGUAAGGGCGUGGUAAUUUAAGUGUGAGACAAAUCAAGCCACAAAGUUCACAUGUUGGCUGACCAUAUAGGCGAAGCCUCCAAAAUGGAGGCAUUGUAGAGAGAGAAACCAUGGUCCUCCAUUUGCGUUAGCAUCCACUGUGGAAAUGUCGAUCCAACUGGAAUUUGCCCCAGAAGUCGGGUAGUUAUUGCUAAAAUCCAAAUAGUACAGGCUAGACCUAGUUUAUGUGGAAUGUGGAUCGCUUGGGCAUAGGGAGCAAAAUAUAGGAGCACGGAACGUCAUUCGUGCCAAACGACAGGGUUAGACUUCUUUUAAUCAUGUAAUUAGUAUCAGACAUGAUUUUGCAGUUACAACAAAGAUAAUACAGGCAGUAUAAUGUGUUUCUAACGUAUCAUGUUUAAACAAGAAUUAUUAUUUUAAAUUAUGUUUUCAAUUACAAAAAACAUCAGCAUGAAAAAUAUAUCUCAAAUAAAUAAUAAAGAGUAGUGUAUUGGAAUGUCUGAAAUGCUCAUUUUAGUAUAUGGAUAUGUUCUCAUCUCAGAGGAUACUCUGUGCACCCAAGAUUUACGUGCCGUGUGAGAGACGAAUGCAUAGAUCUAGCAUAUUGAAUAAUUGCCGUGAGAGAGGUGAAUGCAUACAUGUUCCUUUCAAUUAAAGUUCAUGAAAAUGAAAGUUCGUGCAUAACUCCAAGUCAAGUCAAUGUUUUCCACUUUUUAAAGUUCAUGAAAAUGAAAAUCCACCAAUAACUCCAAGUUGAAGUCAACGUUUAUGACAUUUCGGAAUAAUAACUUACUUCAGCUUUAGAGCUGGUCCAAUAUUCUUGUUUAUUUCUGCUUUUGCGAUGCAGUAAGUCUAGUAGAAUGGUAGUCAGGCCUCACACAAUUAGUAUCAUAGCUGGAAAAAGUUGAAAUCGGGAAGUCACAAGAAAUUCCGACGGACUACACUUAUUUCUUUUUUCCAUAAGUAAAUAUCAUGUAUUCACAAAACUCCAGCAAAUGAGGGAGGACGAACUAUUUUAUUACCCUAGGCACUUAUGCAAAAGCUUCAUUCUUUCCCCUUUUUUGUUAAAAAAGAUUAAAUCCAGAUAUACGAGACUUUUUCAAUUACAUGUAAUUAACGAAUUAGUCACUCAAGAAAUAAAAGCAAGUCACAAGAACUUUUAGACUUUCUACUCAACAAAUAAAGAGCUUUUAGAAAUUCCGACGGACUANNNNNNNNNNNNNNNNNNNNNNNNNNNNNNNNNNNNNNNNNNNNNNNNNNNNNNNNNNNNNNNNNNNNNNNNNNNNNNNNNNNNNNNNNNNNNNNNNNNNGCGCUUCAAUAGUUUUGCAUCAAGAGUAGAAAGGAUUGGCAUCAACUGUUUCAUUUGAUAAUGGACAUGAACAUUGUUGGAUCCUCGCUCAAGCGGUUCCACCCUGAGCUUCUCAUUGUUAAGAAGGUGCAUUCGGUAUUGGUACCUUGGACAGGAAGCUUUUGAAUAAAACAUGUUCCUCGGAGAGAGAGAGAGAGAGAGAGAGAGAGAGAGAGAGAGAGAGAGAGAGAGAGAGAGAGAGAGAGAGAGAGAGAGAGAGAGAGAUGCAUUGGCACUUCAACAACACAAAUAUAUAUGCUUUUUUACAAACACGUAGAAUGGCCUCUACAGCAGGCUCAUGCUUAUCCUUCUUCCUCUCAUCGCUAAGCAUGACUGAAUCAACUCAAUUAAGCUUUCUCCUGGCUCUGCUUCCUAUUAGUGUCAAAAUAUGUCUUGAGCUUGUAAGAGAAAGUCUAAAUUCAUAUAAGAGAUUUUCUAUUUGGGAAUUCGAUGGACAAAUAAACAAUAAAUUUAAAAACCUAAAAGUAAACUCCAAGUUGGAUUAAGUUUCAAAACAAAUUAGGGAUAUCAACUUUCCAAAUUUGGGUUGGACUCGGCAAGGCCUAGAGUUCCACGUUUAAUAUAUAAAAUAAGCAAAUCUCUUUUGGGAGUUAGCCUUGUUGAUUCGCCGUUUAUGGAGUGUUCCCGGGUCCGUGGAAUUCUCAUACCGUUGUUGGAGAAUAAUUCGUGAAUUAAGUCUCAUUAAGUUGGUGUUCAAGCCAUGAAAUCAUGCGGUAAGAUCUGGAUUUUUUUUUGGCGAUAUUAAGAAAUAUUUCGCUUGUGAAGAAUAAACAUUAUUGAGUUUAAUUAGGGACAAAAAAAUACUAAAAGUAUUUGAAUUACUCGAAUGUAAUUAUAAUCUCCAUUGUGUUACUUGAUUUAUAGUGAGAUCUCGCGACCUAUGGAAUAGGUCGCACCAGCCAAUCUAUGCAAAUCAAGUGUCGCUUUUAUUUCAUUGUUUGAUCGCUUGUAGUUAGCAUACUCAAAUCAACAAUAUGCAAUUAUGAAACAGGUUCAAUACUUCUUGAUAAGACUCGGUUCACCAAUGUUGUCUUAAUUUUUUUUUUAAAAGUAAAACUAUUCAUUAUACAAUUUAAGUUUGACUGAGAGGGGAGCUUAAGAGCCCAACGACAGGCAUGAAAUUUUACUUUCUCUACAGUUAUCCAUCCAAAACUUGUCUUCCCUGAAGUGUGUCGCAUUCUUUGUUUCGCCCUGUUAAUUUUUUUUCUUUCUUCACGCACGUAGCUUCUAUAAUUAAAAGGCAAAGAUCAUUACAAAACAUACAUAAACUAAUGAGGAAAUUAAACUACACUUAUAAUUUAACAUGUCUGAUUAAAACGGCACAAAAAUUUUAAAGGAAAAUUGUCCAAAUUUUUUUAAAUCAUUACAUUUUUGCCAAUUCAGUCUAAACUUUUAAUUUGCUAGUUGAGUCCUAAACCUUUUAAUUUUUNNNNNNNNNNNNNNNNNNNNNNNNNNNNNNNNNNNNNNNNNNNNNNNNNNNNNNNNNNNNNNNNNNNNNNNNNNNNNNNNNNNNNNNNNNNNNNNNNNNNCCAAUGAUCUAAAUGUGACUAGCCAAGCCCCAGAGGUCAAAUUGGAAUUAAAAUGGCAAAUUGGGGCCAAAAUGCAAUUUCCAAAAGUUGAGGGACCAAUUCGCAAUUUUUGCAAAAUUUCACUCGAGCCCUUAAAUCAUCAUCUGGGCUCCCAAUUGAGUUAAAAUUGAACUUGGGUCAAGUCUAAUUAAUCGAAUCGGGCAAAAAAGGACCUAAUUGCAUUGUAUUUGGGAUUCUCGGGCAAGAAAAUGGCCAACUUUGAGGGACUUUCUUGCAAAAUUGGGUGGAGACAAUUGAGAAAAAUGGUCAAGAUCUUAAACUACUAUACAUGAGCUUGCUAAUUGAUAAAAAAUCGCAGCCAAAUUCAUGGAUUAAAGCACCUAAACCAGCUGACAAAUCCCAGUCCUCAAGUUGGUCUGAAGUCGGAGCUGCUGAGUAAGCAAAUUGGUGGCCCCACCAUAUCCUUCUUAGCUGUCCAACCGGCCUGAUAUUUGCACGUGAUGGAAGACCGUAAUGAGUAGUGCAAGUGGACGGAAAUUUGCCAGGGAUAAGUCGCUGAAAGCACAGGAAAGUCGCAGCAAAAUCGGGACACUCAACAUCUGCAAGAUUUGAAAAUUCUGGCUUAAGUCAGAAAGUGGGUGGAUAGCUCAGUUGGCAGGCUUGGUAGGUGGACAAAAAGCCGACCAAGAGAUUUAUGAAUCUGGGGGAUAAGAUCACGGAAGGGAGGUCUUUCGAGGGAGGAGAGAGAAGAGACGAAUGAGAGAGGAGAGAGCUCGGAGUCGAUGACCAAAGAAGCCCUCAGAAGCAACUCCAGAAAAGAGAAACCCAGAAAUUCCAGACCGACCUGGAGAGAGAAAAGUGAGAUUUUCACACACCGACGGCCAAAAUUAGCCAAAACCUUCAACUAGAGAGUGAAACUUCAUUCAAAUAUAUUUCCAACCAUAGGUCGCACGUCCCAAAUGGAGAUCGGGAAGGCCUCCUAAAGCCCCCCGAAACAGUGCCCUCCUGGCGGGCCAAGAAAGUCCGAAAAUUUUCGUAAGUGUUGAGACUGGUUGGUCACGAGUGAGGGAAAGCCAGUGUUUUUGAAAAGUUGAGAGAUAAAUGAGGAAAAUAUUGACUUUUACCCCAAACUAGAAUACAUAUGGGUUUGGCUUGGUAUCAAUUUUUCCAACAAAAUACAUCUUGAAGUCUAAUGUUAGAGGUCACGAAACUUCGUUGUCAGUUCUUUUUUUUUGCAGAUCUCAUUUCCAGUUGAAGAAGCCAACUUCCACGGGCCCCNNNNNNNNNNNNNNNNNNNNNNNNNNNNNNNNNNNNNNNNNNNNNNNNNNNNNNNNNNNNNNNNNNNNNNNNNNNNNNNNNNNNNNNNNNNNNNNNNNNNNNNNNNNNNNNNNNNNNNNNNNNNNNNNNNNNNNNNNNNNNNNNNNNNNNNNNNNNNNNNNNNNNNNNNNNNNNNNNNNNNNNNNNNNNNNNNNNNNNNNNNNNNNNNNNNNNNNNNNNNNNNNNNNNNNNNNNNNNNNNNNNNNNNNNNNNNNNNNNNNNNNNNNNNNNNNNNNNNNNNNNNNNNNNNNNNNNNNNNNNNNNNNNNNNNNNNNNNNNNNNNNNNNNNNNNNNNNNNNNNNNNNNNNNNNNNNNNNNNNNNNNNNNNNNNNNNNNNNNNNNNNNNNNNNNNNNNNNNNNNNNNNNNNNNNNNNNNNNNNNNNNNNNNNNNNNNNNNNNNNNNNNNNNNNNNNNNNNNNNNNNNNNNNNNNNNNNNNNNNNNNNNNNNNNNNNNNNNNNNNNNNNNNNNNNNNNNNNNNNNNNNNNNNNNNNNNNNNNNNNNNNNNNNNNNNNNNNNNNNNNNNNNNNNNNNNNNNNNNNNNNNNNNNNNNNNNNNNNNNNNNNNNNNNNNNNNNNNNNNNNNNNNNNNNNNNNNNNNNNNNNNNNNNNNNNNNNNNNNNNNNNNNNNNNNNNNNNNNNNNNNNNNNNNNNNNNNNNNNNNNNNNNNNNNNNNNNNNNNNNNNNNNNNNNNNNNNNNNNNNNNNNNNNNNNNNNNNNNNNNNNNNNNNNNNNNNNNNNNNNNNNNNNNNNNNNNNNNNNNNNNNNNNNNNNNNNNNNNNNNNNNNNNNNNNNNNNNNNNNNNNNNNNNNNNNNNNNNNNNNNNNNNNAAUUUAAUGCUAUUUUGGUAUUUUAUAACCAUUUUGUAAAUAAUCCAUUUGCGAAGAUUAAAACUAUUUAAAGUAAUUUCAUGCAUAUUUGAAUUCUCAUUUUGCUCAUGGGGGUCCUGUCCCAGGGCGUGAUAACAAGGCCAUGUAAUAUUAUUUGCCUAACUUGUAUCGGGUUUAUAUUUUCCGUGUUUAUUUUCAAGUCAUUUCAAUUUCUUGGAUGUUUACUUACGCGCCGCUUUUCAUUAAUUUGAGUGUAAAUUUCUCUUCCAAAUUAUGUUAGGAUUAGUCUAGACAUUAAAAAAAAACUACAAAAACAUUUGCAUGGACACUUAGUGGUUUCAUAAAGAUUAUAAUUGGUAAUCAAGAUUAUGUGGCCAUUUAGAUAAACAACCUUCUUAGUUAGUGGUACCGCAAGGGCGCUAAUAGAAACAUUGGCGUAAACAAGUCCUCGUUCCUAGAAAUCUCUGGUUGCGUAGGAAUCGAGACAACACUCCCGUGUCUUGAUUGGUUUCUAGCCGACCCCAAUAGGCUAGUGGCGACUCCUAGAAUUACAUAGGUUGUUAAGAACUAAAAUUCAAAAUCCAAUGUUGCGAGUGGUAUGGGCUUGGGAGAGCUCGCGCCUAAUUUAGGGCCAUUGGUCCACCUCUUUAGGCAAAUACCCCUAAACCUUCAUCUUUUCCCCCGGACGGAAAAAAAAGAGGUCGCGACACAUCCUAAUAAAAAAGAACUUAAUAAUGAUACAUUUCAUCAUUUAGAUUGAGCAAUAAAACAAAGACAAUGUAAUGUCUAUUGUAAGAUUAUUACGGUAAACUUAUAGAAANNNNNNNNNNNNNNNNNNNNNNNNNNNNNNNNNNNNNNNNNNNNNNNNNNNNNNNNNNNNNNNNNNNNNNNNNNNNNNNNNNNNNNNNNNNNNNNNNNNNUGCGACCAGCGAGGGUUAGCCUCGCCGACCUCAGGUGAGGUCGGCCCCGUGUCGGGAAUUAGCAUGGGCGGCCCUCGUUGGCCUCAGGCAAAGGUCAACACUUGCCAGAUGCUAGCGAGGGUUAGCCUUGUUAGCCUCACACGAGGUCACCCUCAUUGGGAUGUGGCGAGGGAGGACCUUGUGGACCUUGGAUGAGGCUCGUCCUCAUCGGAUUUGGUGAGGGCGAGCCUUGCUCAUAGCCAAAAAGGCUAACCCUCACCCUCACUUGAAGCACGUGAUGGUUGGCCUUGCUGGCAGUGAGCAAGGCUCACCCUCACCAAAUCCGGUGAGGGCAAGCCUUGCCCAAGGCCCGUGAGGUCGUCCCCUGCCAGAUCCCGACGAGGGUGACCUUGCACGAAGUUGGUGAGGGCAACCUCGUUUGAGGCCGGUGAGGCCGACCAUUACCAGUUGCAGCCUUUGGCUAGUCUCUGGAGGUUGUAACCAACAAAGAGAAAGAAGAGAGACAGAAAAAGAAAAGAAAAGAUAGGAAAAUUUUAAAAUUCAAUUUUUUUUUUUGUCAACAUUAGUGUUGGCCAUGUCACCUAGGACGACUAGUGUCCAAGUCAAUGAAUUCCAUCCAAAAUUGGCCGGAUAGACUCAAUUGGCAAAAAGUGAAAAUGUUUAUAACUCAAUUGGAAAAAUUGAAAAACUUAUGACUGAAUUGAUAAAAGUGCAAUAAGUUUAUGACUUUUUGGAUAAUUUUCCCACAUUUUAAUGUACUUGUCCUUCCUUCAAUUUUUGAAAUGUGUCGAGCCGGAAGAUUAUCCGAGUGAUUUGACAAUGAUGCCGAGCUAUAGUAGUGAGCAGCUUCUAAAUCUCUUUUCUAGUUUCUCCAUUUAGAGUUCAUGGAAUGCAAAUUGUAUUUUUCCAUUACUCGAAUUUCAAGGAUACUAAAACCCGGACUACAUUAAAAAAAACUGACCUAAAUAAAUUGAGAUGGGUCUAUGAUGCAUCGUCUAAGCUGGAGCAAAGCCUCUCUUUUUUGCUCUUUGCAAAUGGAAGUUGAGUUUUUAGAAAAGCAAACACAUGAAUUAUUUAGAAAGAGCAAUAGAGUUAUUUAGAAAGAGCAAUAGAGUUACUAGUGAAAGGACUUUAGAAAAAUAUCUCCCCAUGAGCAACGAGAGGUGGUCUCUCGGGCAAAGAACAAAUUUAUCCUUUAAAGAGUAGGGGUUAAAGGAUCCUCUAAUUAAACCCAUAUCAAUUAUAGAGAAGCAAAGUGGAGAUUUUUCUUUCAAUGUGACAAGUUGGGGUUUCAAACAUGCUCCUUAUGUGGAUGCAUGUGUGCCAUCUCGAAGGAUGUAUAUGCAGUACAAAGGUCCACGUAUCAUAAUCAUAGUCCAAGAAGAGAAGGCACAUCCGUUCUUGCAAUUGGAGUUUGUCAAUUGAUGAUUGGCCCCAUUCCAAGGAGAGAAUUCAACCUCUACAAAUUAAUCCAAGUCAAAAGCAGCUCUACUAAGGAGAAAGUGGAGAAUUAUAUUUAAUUUUUGCAGUGUUGGACACAGACUAAGUCAAGUCUUAUAAGAUAAUAAUUGUUUCUCUAUAUAAAUGGGUCCUUAUAACGGUACCAUUCAAUUCAAGUUAUGAUCAUUACUAAAUUAUCAAUUUUGAAAUAAACGAUCUUAAUUAGUGUUGUUGCUCGUGCAACGCACGAGAAUAUGUUGGCCAUUGCUUAAAAAGCAAGACAGUAGAAGACAGCAUCAAAAAAUAUAUUGUGAUUACUUUCACAACAUCACAAAUGUAAUUAUUUAUUAUUUAUUUCUGAAUUCUUCCCCCACAACACCUCUGUUAAACUUGAGCUUACUUUGCCCAUAAAAACUCUAGAGAAACGAUGAUUUUGACCUUUAAAAACAUAAACGGUUCAAUCUGCAAAAGAACUUUCUCUAUGUAGGCUUUUCUUUCAACAGAAUAAUAUAAUGAUUCUUUAGUUAUGCGUUUAGUGUUUCCCAUAGGUGUAAAUCACUAAACAAAUAGUGAUGGUAAUAAAGCAAGGGAUCAUUAGCGCAAUUCAUGUGCAGCAAGUGAAAGGGUCAUAGCACCAUUCCAACAUAUAAACCACACUAAGAAACUCAAAGCUAUCAAAAAAUAAAAUAAGAGAAAAAUCCUCCCAAGAAAAAACAAUCAGACCGCUUAUGUAUCUUAUUUUAUAAUAUGAAAAAAAAAGGUCUGACAACGAGUAGGGAUAAAUAUUGAAUAUCUCUUCUAAAAGCAUUUUAAAAAGAAGAAGAAAACAAACAGAAUCUAACCAACUAUGUUGUAAAGGAAAAUGUAGCAACAAGCUUUGGACGGAUAAUGAUAUGAGAAGGAUUGAGGAAUUCAAACUCAAUAAACAGUUCAAAUCUUCCAUUUACUCAAAACCCGUGUAACCGAUUGAUAAUGAGUUAUAAUGCAGUAACGUUUAUCAGAGAUAAAGCCUAGUUUAGAUUGGAGAACAGCAUGGUUGUUUUUUACCACGGAGAUCAAAGGUCACUAACGAAGGGGAAGAUAAGAGAAGCUAAGGAUCGUACUUUGCCAUCAAUUUCGAUACUCGUAGAUUGGAAUCAAUCAAAGAGGCAUUUGAGCUUAAAAAACACAGAAAAAUCAAGGUAAAAUAUAAACAUAAUCGAAGGAAGAAAACGCAGUCUUGGCAAGUUACUUCGACGAGUUUCUAGGAUAGAUGGGAUGAUCAUAAACUGAAACAUUCCUCGUUAAGGAAGCAAGUAGUUGCGCAGAAAACCCACGACCCGAUGUACUUUAGAAACCAACUUGUAAUCAAGUAAACUUAAGUAAUUUAAGAUGUUGGUAAGGUUAAAUUCAGAUUCUACACAGAGGCCGACAAUACAUGAGCUUCCAGGCAAACUCAUCUUGUGCAAACUUUGAGAACCGGGACCAUCCCCAUUUUCUAUUGGCAAAUCAGCGCCUUCGCCUUCGACUUUAUCUUUCUUGGUCAAAGGAAGGAAACAAACAACUUCAGGUUCAGGGGACAAGCAAAAUUCAGGCUUGCGGAUGGGUACUUAGAGAGACAAUAGAAGCAAAUAUUCAUAAAUGGAAUUAAAAAAGCUGCAAAAUUUCGGUUGAGAUUUCUGAUUUAAUUGGUAAAUUCCUAAUGUCGUUGCUAAAAAUAUGCGGAUGGGGCUGCAAAAUUUCUGUGUUGGCGUUACAUAGGCCAUGCUAAGUGGCUAUAUUGAAAACCUUAAAAUAAAAAGUAUCUCUAAAAAAUUUAGAAGAAAGAAAUUGAAAAAAAAGGAAGAGAAUUGGGAAUUUCGCAAAUCUAUAAUCUUUAACUCUUUUUCUUUUUGAAAUUUGGCGGAUUUAAUAUUAAAAUUUGCCUAAUUAAAAAAAAUAUCUCAUAAACCCUUGCUUUAGAUUUCUCAUCGCUUGUUUGAAAUUUUCAAAGCCCUCUUUUGGGCUUGAAACCUAGUUAUGUUCAAGUUAGAGUGUAAUGGUGGAGAGCACUCAUGCAUCUUUCACAAUGGAAGCGUAUCUUUCUAUACGUAGACAUCAUAUUGUGCAACAAAGUUGCAAACCUCACAGCAGACUAAUUUCCAAGUUGAAUUUAUUUUCUUGAAAAUUGAUUGAAUAAAAAUAAUAGAUUGAGCACCACAAUUUUACUAUAGAAUCAAAUCGAAUCCAAGUCACUUAUUAUCUUGACUUCAUUUCGGUCUCAAUUCGCCAUGCUAGAGUGGGAGAGAUCAAGCCACAAAAGCGAUCCGUUAGGCUCAACACCUGAGCAAAGCCCCAUACGUAGAAGCACUUGAGAGUUAUGACAUGGUCCUCCUCGUGUCUCCAUCCAUUGUGGAAAUGUUGCUCCAAAUGAUUCCAAGUUGGAAAAUGGGCCACUUGAGAUCUGCCUUAAAAGUCAAGUAAAUCGUCUCUAAUACUUCAAGGCUAGACCUAGGUUACCCGGCGUGUUGACUGGGAUGUGGAAUGAAAAAGGGAUUGUGAAACUGUUACUAGUAAAAAAUGUGGUACGAUAAAGGUGGACUUCUGUUGAGCAUGUGAUUAGGAUAAGACCUAAUUUUGUAGUUACAAUAUAGAUGAUAUAGGUCGUAUAAUGUGUUUCUAACAUAUUUGAGCCACUAAGUUUCAUGUUCACACAAGAAUUACUAUUUAUAAUUCAAUACAAAAAUAUUAUCAUGAAAUUAUAGUUUAGGUAAGUAAUAACGAUUAGUGUAUUAAAAUGUUCACAAUACUCAUUUUACUUUAUGGGUAUGUUCUCAUCUCAUAGGAUGUCUUGUGCAACCGAGGUCUAAGUGCCUUGUGGGAGACGUAUUCACGCAUCUAACAUAUUUAAUAAUAGUAGAGAAUCUAAUCUAUCGUUUUGGUUUUCAAUCAUAAUAAAAAGAGAAUUUACAUGUUCCUUUCUUCUCACAGGAUAUCCUAUGCAUUCUGAAUCUACAUGCCGUGUAAAAAACGAAUGCAUGCAUCUAGCAUAUCUAAUAAUAAUAAAAAAAUCUAAUCUACCGCUUUGGUUUUCAAUCACAAUAAAAAAAAUAGUUUACAUGUUCCUUUCAGUCAAAGUUCGCGAAAAUGAAAGUCCAUGAAUAACUUACAUGCCGAGUUUAGAAACUGUUGAUCACUUUUUAAAGUUCAUGAAAAUGAAAGUUCACAAAUAACUCUAAGUCAAAGUCAACAUCUAAGACUUUUCGAAUGAUGGUCACUUCCUUCAUCUUAAGAGCUACUCCGAUAUUCUUUUUAUUUUGGGAUAAGUGCAAAAAUUCUAAAACUUAUCAUGAAAAUACAAUUAAGUUUUAUGUCUACAAAAGUACAAUCAAGUUUAAGGGUGCGUUUGGGAAUGGCCAUAGGAAGGAGCUUUGAGUGUCCAAAACCCAUUUGGCCAAAUAUUGGGUGUUUGGUAAUAAUUUUGAAAGAUCAAGCCACAAAAGUGAUCUGUUAGGCUGAAUACAUGGGCAAAGCCUAAUAUAUGAAAGCACUUGAGAGAGUUAUGACAUGGUCCUCUUCUUGUGUCUCCAUCCAUUGUGGAAAUGUUGCUCUAAAUAAUUCCGAGUUGGGAAAUGGGCCACUUGGGAUCUGCCCUAAAAGUCAAGUAAAUUAUCGCUAAUACUUCAAGGCUAGACCUACGUUACCCGGCGUAUGGACUGGUAUGUGGAAUGAAAAAGGGAUUGCGGAACUGUUACUUGUCAAAAUGUGGUACGAUAAGGGUGGACUUCUGUUGAGCAUGUGAUUAGGAUAAGACUUAAUUUUGUAGUUACAAUAUAGAUAAUAUAGGUCGUAUAAUGUGCUUCUAACAUAUUUGAGUCACUAAGUUUCGUGUUCACACAAGAAUUACUAUUUUUAAUUCAAUACAAAAAUAUUAUCAUGAAAUUAUAGUUUAGGUAAGCAAUAACGAUUAGUGUAUUAAAAUGUUCACAAUGCUCAUUUUACUUUAUGGGUAUGUUCUCAUCUCAUAGGAUGUCCCGUGCGCCCAAGGUCUAAGUGCCUUGUGGGAGAUGAAUUCACGCAUCUAACAUAUUUAAUAAUAAUAGGGAAUCUAAUCUAUCGUUUUGGUUUUCGAUCAUAAUAAAAAGAGAGAUUACAUGUUCCUUUCUUCUCAUAGGAUAUCCUAUGCAUUUUGAAUGUACGUGCCAAGUAAUAAACGAAUGCAUGCAUCUAGCAUAUCUAAUAAUAAUAAAAAAAUCUAAUCCCUCGCUUCGGUUUUCAAUCACGAUAAAAAAAUAGUUUACAUGUUCCUUUCAAUCAAAGUUCAUUAAAAUGAAAGUCCAUGUAUAACUUAUAUGCCAAGUUCAGAAACUGUUGAUCACUUUUUAAAGUUCAUGAAAAUGAAAGUCCACAGAUAACUCUAAGUUGAAGUCAACGUUUAUGACUAUUUGAAUGAUCAUCACUUCCUUCAUCUUUAGAGCUACUCCAAUAUUCCUUUUAUUUUGGGAUAAGUGCGAUAAAAAUCUGAAAACUUGUCAUAAUAAUAUAAUUAAGUCUUAUGCUUACAAAAGUACAAUCAAGUUUAAGGGUGCAUUUGGGAAUGGCCAUGGUUGAGUAUCCAAAGCUCAUUUGGCCAAAUAUUGGGUAUUUGGUAAAAUUUUUGAAAGAUCAAGCCACAAAAGUGAUAUGUUAGGCUAAACACCUAGGAAAAGCCCCAUAUAUAGAAGCACUUAAGAGAGUUAUGAAAUGGUCCUCCUCUUGUGUCUCCAUCCAUUGUGGAAAUGUUGCUCCAAAUGAUUCCGAGUUGGAAAAUGGGCCACUUCGGAUCUGCCCUAAAAGUCAAGUAAAUUAUCGCUAAUACUUGAAGGCUAGACCUAGGUUACCCGACAUAUGGACCGAUAUGUGGAACGAAAAAGGUAUUGCGGAAUUGUUACUUGUCAAAAAUGUGGUACGAUAAGAGUGGACUUUUGUUGAGCAUGUGAUUAGGAAAAGAUUUAAUUUUGUAGUUACAAUAUAGAUAAUAUAGGUCGUAUAAUGUGUUUCUAACGUAUUUGAGUUACUAAAUUUCAUUUUCACACAAGAAUUAAUAUUUUUAAUGCAAUACAAAAGUAUUAUCAUGAAAUUACGGUUUAGGUAAGUAAUAACGAUUAGUGUAUUGAAAUAUUCACAAUGCUCAUUUUACUUUAUGGGUAUGCUCUCAUCUCAUAAGAUGUCCUUGGCACCCGAGGUCUAAGUGCCUUGUGGGAGACGAAUUCAUGCAUCUAACAUAUUUAAUAAUUGUAGGGAAUCUAAUAUAUCGUUUUGGUUUUCAAUCAUAAUAAAAAGAGAGAUUACAUGUUCCUUUCUUCUUAUAGGAUAUCCUAUGCAUUAUGAAUCUCCAUGUCGUGUAAAAAACGAAUGCAUGCAUCUAGCAUAUUUAAUAAUAAUAAAAAAUCUAAUCUAUCUUUUUUUUUUUUGGUAAGAAUCUAAUCUAUCUUUUUGAUUUUCAAUCAAAAUUUAUAUAUAAAAAAAGAGAGUUUACAUGUUCCUUUCAGUCAAAGUUCACAAAAAUGAAAGUCCAUGUAGUUCAGAAACUUUGAUCACUUUUUAAAGUUCAUGAAAAUGAAAGUCCACAGAUAACUCCAAGUGGAAGUCAACGUUUAUGACUUUUCGAAUGAUCAUCACUUCCUUCAUCUUUAGAGCUACUCCAAUAUUCUUUUUAUUUUGGGAUAAGUGCCAUAAAAAUUUGAAAACUUGUCAUGAUAAUACAAUUAAGUCUUAUGCUUACAAAAGUACAAUCAAGUUUAAGGGUGCAUUUGGGAAUGGCCAUGGGAAGGAGCUUUGAGUGUCCAAAGCCUAUUUGGCCAAAUAUUGGGUGCCUGGUUAAAUUAUUGAAACCCAUCUUGAGGGAAAGUUUGCCUUUAUAAAGGUGAAAGCCCAAGGUAGGUUCUAGGCUUUCUUGGGCUUUCAGCAUUCUCGAAAGGCCCUCUCUAGGGUUUAGUAUAUAAAUUUUGUUCCAAAACUAUCCUCACUCAAUUUUUAUCUUUCUGUUUUUGGCCUCGUGAUUCACUGUUCAUCUUAUUCUCCAUUGAGUCGGCUGGCUUGGUUGCGUGUGGCUGCGAUGGGUUAGCGAUAGGCUAGAGAGAGGUUGAUGUGGUCACGACUAUCCUAGCGAUUGUCACCUGCUAGUUGCAUGACCUCUAUGAGUUGCGGUGACCCCUUGCAAAUCGUGUUGUCAUGACCCAAAUCUAGUGCGUCACUUUUAUGAAGGGCCGCUUGAGGUCAUGCGACCAAGCAGACCUUGCCGAGGUCGCNNNNNNNNNNNNNNNNNNNNNNNNNNNNNNNNNNNNNNNNNNNNNNNNNNNNNNNNNNNNNNNNNNNNNNNNNNNNNNNNNNNNNNNNNNNNNNNNNNNNCAAAUCUAGAUCUCAUGGCCUUCGUGAAGGUCGCUUGAGGUCGCGUGACUAGUCGACCUUCGUUGAGGUUGCGUGACCCUAGGCGACCCUCGCCGAUCGUCUCUUGGGGCUGCCUAAGGUCUUAUAACCUUAGAUGUCGGCUGCCAAUAACAAAUUUCAAUCACCGGCAACCCCUUGCCCUUGCUGGCCAACUUUUUUAUUUUUCUUUUGACGAUUUUUUUUAAUUACAAAUGUCAUUUGUAAAUAUAAUCUCUCCAAAUAUUAUCUUACUUAAAGGUACUUCACAAUGGACUUUUAGAUUACAAUUUAACAAAUACAAUUUACAUUUUGAAAAACAUUUUUAACUUAAAGUCCUUCACAUUUUCUCAAAGACUUUCCCCAAAAGUCCAACGACACAUCCUAAAACUUAUCAACUUUAUGUAAUCAAGUCAUUCAGUUAAUUUCGGCCAAUUUGGCUAAUGAAAAAUGUUGGCGUGACUUCUUUUUGAUAUUUCCUAUCUCAUAAGUGGUGACGACAUGAUUAAAAUAUAAAACAUAAUGCUAAAAUGAUGUCAAACUGAUUUUUAAUACAAAUUUCAUUUAUAUUAAAUUAAAAAUAAGCUAAAUUGAAAUCCUAAUUCUGCUAGCCGCCACGCCAUGAACGUCGUCCCAUCCUUGUUCCACGAAAUCAAAUCGUCCACCGACGAAUCAUUCAUGAGCAUGUAAGUCUUCAUGAGAAACGGAAGCGACCUUUGGGAGGCGCCAACUACUGGCGAGUCCCCGGUCUGCUCCGCCGGCAUCGGUCCCCAUGGGUGCCUCUCAAAUUCCAAGCCCCAAGACACCUGGAGAGACUCCGAACCGGACAGUAUCCACAAAAUCAAUGCACACGAAGCAUCCUCCCGCCAAUUUGAUUAAGAAAAAGAAAAACCGAAAAAGAGAAUAAAAGAAACUAUUCCUCCAUCUAGUGAUGUUCGUCCUAUGCGAGAAUUAAUAAAACAAAUCCUUUUCGUGUCCCUUGCCUUGAAGCAACAUAUAGAGCAUUAAAAUUGAUAAAGGGCAAUCGAAAGCCUUGAUGUUUUAUUUGAUAGAACCAUGUCAAACGGUUGGGGCUUUGAGUGCAAGAAAAUUUGGGUUGGGGAUCAAUAUCUUGGGAGUAUCCUCUCCAUUUUCUGGCCGGUUUGGAAAAAGCAAAGAAAGCAAGCCUUUGAAGGAGAGGAGUCUCCAACCCCUGUAAUUUUUCAUGACUGGUGCAAAGCUAAUGAUUUUAGCAUAAUGGAAUUAGGAGCAGAUGCAAAUGCAUUGGUUGCUAAUAUAUGCUUUCUCUCGUGAUUAAGUUCUUUUGAAUCUUGACCUCGUUUUGUACGUGGGUUUGCGCCCACCUAGCACCCUAUAGUGAAUUUUUCUCUAUCAAUGAGAACAAGCUUUCUUGCAAUACCCCCACAGAACCAUACACACUAUCCUCCUUAUCUUGCACCAUAUCCUCAGCAAGAGGCACAAAUUUAGAAGCUUCUGGCAUCAUCCAGCCCCAUUGUAAUCUGAACUGCUUCCGCUUAGUUGUGGCGCCAUCACAGGCACGGCUGCUCCAAGGAUUUAUCUUCCCCCCUAUUCGUUCGAGUCUCGAAAUAGAUUAGAAAAGGAUAGAAUUCUUUCAAUCGUUGGAUUAGAUUUGAAUUCAAUAAUGGGGGUGGGGUUCCUUUCUGACAAAAAACUGGUGCACGGACAUUCAUCUUAAACAUUGCUUCCCCCCUCUUUUUUUUUUUUUCUCUCUCUACUGAUCAGGAUGCUCUGGUUUCUAACGUCUUGUGCGUCAACAACAGCACUUUACUCUGAAUUCCCAACUCAAUUUAUACUUUAGGGGAGCUUGAUGUGGUCUGCACAUUCAUCUCUCUCUUUAUAGCCCAAGGUUAAAGGUAUUGGAGAAGGACGGACUCAUCUAGGAUUUUGUUAAAUGCAGAGCCUCCUCCUGGGGAUCUGAAUUAGGCCGGAAACUCCCCAAGCAAGCCUCCUUCCACUCUAAUUGGGCUGUGAUUUCUUGCCCAACUCGACAACGAUAUGUUUUCCAGAGGAAGACUCGACACAUCGGGUAGGCAUGUGAAGAGGGGCUUCUUCUUUUUUUCUAGUGUUUCCCAUGGAAUUUUUGUGCAGCCAGCAGUUUACACCGACUAAAAAGAAAGACAAACAUGGGAAAUUUCCCAAACAGAACCGUGUUUCCCAGUGGUGAUAUGUUUAGAACUGCUUCAGACCAUCUCUUUAGUUGCAGAGGCAAAUGUGCUAAAAAAUCCACCAUGUUCAGGUAAACGUAAGCAAUUUAAGAAGGUGAACGCAGGUAAAGCUAAAUUUGAUAAAGCAACCAGAAUUUUAUCUUUAUGUAAGGUUAAAUUCAGAUUCUAUAUAGUCACUGAAAAUACAUGAGCUUCCAUGCAAAACUCAUCCUGUCCAAACAUUAAAAACCGGAACUAUCCCCAUUUUCAAUAGGCAAAUCAGCGCCCUUCACCUGCGACUUCAGCUUCGGAAGGAAUAUAAACCAAAUUCAGCUUUAGGGAACCAGCUUUCUAUGGUCUAGUCGUUUAAAAAGCUAUUAAACUUUCCGUUUGUUAGUGGAUUUUGACUCAGUUGAUAGAUAUUUAAUAUCGUCAGUAGAAAGAGCAUGACCAACAACUCAAAUGUCAAGUAAUCCUUUCAAAAAAUAUCGCCACUAUAAGAAAUUUCUUGACUUUCAAUUGAAUUUUGCCUGGGUCGUAAGUAAACUACCAACACUAGAAUAAAUUACUAUUUCAAAUUAAUGUUGGUAAAUGUAUUAUAGUAUUAGUAUAUUACAAAAGAUACUUGUAUAAUUACAAAGGAUCUAGUAAUGUUGUGAUAAUGUCGAUAAUUUUCAAGAAGUGGUAAUUUAUAAUUUUGUCAGAAUGUUGGUAAACUACUUGUAGUGCUGGUAGUUGAUGGACUGCAGUUGUAAAACUUGAGAAAACUUGGUAAAAGGACUAAAUCAAUUACGAGAUUGGUCAAUUCAUAGUGGUAUAAAAAACCUUUUACAGCCAUUACACGGAUAAAUGAACAAAGUAGGAAAUUCACGAACUCACAGCAAGGCGACAAUAGCGGAUGAAAGGGCAAGGAACCCGUACUUUGCCAUCCCCUCGGAGAUCCCGACGAAGGUAUUAGCAAUUCCAAACAUGAUCCUCCACAACAAGGCGCACACCAACACAGCCGCAGCCCCCACGAGGACCAAGUAAUUGCUCCUCAAGAACGACUCCACUUGCAGCCCAAUGGCCUCCCGAUAUUUGCUAAACGCAGAAAGAACCGACAUUGUCGGCUUCUCGAAAACCUUCUUCGCGAAACCCCCGUUCCCCGAGCUUUGGAACGAGAAAUGCCUGACCCCAUAGCAAUUCAAUCGCGACGGACCGAGUCCCGCCGGCGAGAAGCUCUUCGACGAAGCUUGGCCCGCCCUAGGAAGGAGUACCUCGGACGCGGCGAGAUUACUGAACGCUCUAGACUGGCACGAAUUCCGCGCGGUGCCAGCGGCCGAGCUCGACGGAUAGGAGAGAGGAAACGGGCGGGGAAAGAAGAAGGAGGGGGCAACGAGGAGCCGGCGGCGGCGGGAUCGACGGCCGCGGUGGCGAAGUGGGAGGAGGAAUGCACGCCGGCGGGGGACGAUUUCGGGAGGUGGAGCUGGUGGUGGCGGCGAUGCAAUGUCAGAACGCCUUGGAGCAAUCGCGAGGAGGGCUUUGACAUCGUAGUACGCGAUUCGUACGAAAUCGGAGCUCGAACGCCGCUGCUUCGAUGCAGAAUUGAAGGACGCGAAUUUCGCCGGAGACUUGCGGGAUCGGAGGAAAGGAAAGGAGGGUAGUUGACGCGAGGGAAGUGCUCCUCCCGGAGGGAAGCCGGAGCGCAGUCGAUAGCUUGAUGUUGUACGGUGCAGUCAGCGGCGAGGGAAGACGACGACGACCAUUCUUUGAUCUCGUCUUCUACGGUUCGAACUUGGGUUUGGGCCGGAAGAGGCCCAAGCCCAAGUUUGAAUUCUAAAGCAUCCAAAAUAGGGGCAGGCGAUUCCACCUUCUGCAUAGAUUCUAUCUACAAUUUAAAAUCUACCUGUUGUAAAAAGUUCAUUCCUAAAAUCUAUCCUGUCAUAGAUUCCUCAAUUUAUUCGGGUUCUACCUUUAUUAUAAAUCAAAUUAUUGCAGUGAAUCAUUAAUUUUAAUGCACUAAUCACGACUUAUUUUUAAAUACAUGAAGAAUAUAAAACAUUAAUAAAGUAAAGGUUUUGAUCAUAAUAUGGAAGUUCAAACGAGUAGUUCUAUAUCAUAUACUCAUCAUCGGAUGUCAUGGAACAUCACAAAAUUGUGUGAAAACAUAAACUAAGAAAAAAACAAAUUUAUUUAAUUUUUCAAAUUUAAAAUCUACCUUACAUAUUUUGAAAUUUGGAACUGGACAAGUUCCAACCGAUCUGGUUCUUUGAUUUCACAUUCUACUCUAGAAUUAUACUCAUCCCUAAUUCAACUCUUUUGUGUGUGUGUGUGUGUGUGUGUGUGUGAGAGAGAGAGAGAGAGAGAGAGAGAGAAGUACUUUUUGGGUGAAGGAAGUAUGAUUGUCUUACCAAUAGUGGAGACCAAUCAGGAGAUGUUUGGGCUUAUUCUUCAGUAUGAUUUGGAAUUAUACUCAUCCCUAAUUUCAACUCUUUGUGAGAGAGAGAGAGAGAGAGAGAGAGAGAGAGAGAGAGAGAGAGAGAGAGAGAGAGAGAGAGGAAUAACAGCUGUUGAAUUAAGUUCUUUUUGGGUGAAGGAAGUAUGAUUGUCUUACCAAUAGUGGAGACCAAUCAGGAGAUGUUUGGGCUUAUUCUUCAGCCUUUAUUAUUUUUCUUUGCACGAACCCAAGAAGCAAGUUUUGGCAGUUCAUGAAGACCUCCGCAUGCCAACUGCUACAAGCUCAAUGUAAAGCAAGUUUUUGGCAAAAACACUAGAAGCAUCGGUUUCAAAAAGUGAUCGGAAAGCAAAACCCUUCCUUCCAAUCCAAGCGUCCUGCUUAGAUGAUAACCUGAUAUGUUAGAAGUUCAAAAAGUGCAUCGGAGUGACAGAGAGAAGCUCAUCAACCAUGAAACGAGGGAGUCUAGCUCCUCAUACUAGCGCAUGCUUUGAUUUCACGAGAUUUGUUUGCAUGGAUGGAAAGAUUGACACACCCCGCAGGGUGAAGUCAGUUGACAAGUAUGACGACAAAAGGCGAGGACCAAUAGAUCAGAAAAAUAGCAGCUCCAAUGUUGCGUUUAUGGUCCAAAAGCUUUGAAUCUGGUAGCUCCUCCCAUGCUUAAUCCCGUUUUGUGGACAGGUGAAUUAGAACUGCUGCAAGGGCAUGGCAAUCGGAAAUUCGAUGGUUCAAACAUGACAGGAAAUUGAGGAUAGACACAGCAUUAUUGCCUUAUUAGCAAACGUGAGUGAACACAAAAUUGGAGUAACAUAUCUAGUUUUGAAUCCGCUUGCCUGCUUCCCUACCUGUCCCCUCAUGAUCCAAGAGUUGGAGGCCUGUCGUUGUUGAGGCCCACUUAAAUUUUUCUGUACCAGCAUUCAUUAACAGGGAAGAGACGUUAAGUAGAGAUCAUAUUUUGGUUGAAAAGAUAGAGAGCAGAAAGCAAAGUUCAGCCCGGAAGAUACAGUAGAAAGAGUUGUGUUUUGAGAAAUAGACCCCAUAGAAUGCUAAUUACAUUACAUGUAUAAGCAAACUCGUGGAAGGGAAGAGAUCAUAUGAGCACAAGUUCUAAACAAACCCAAAAUGAAAAACUAAAGGCAGAGGAGAGAGCACAAGAUUGCUCAUUUCUUACAUGCUUCUUGACAAUCUCAGUCUCUUCAACUUGGCUACCUUCACUACUACAACCACAUAUACCUUGUGUGCUGCCUGAUCCGCAAAGCUGAAAUAUGCUCGUCUCCAAUCCUUCUUGAAUUGCAAAACACUGAAAAAGCCCCAGAACCCAAUCGCAAAUCCAAGCAUUACGAUCGCAUAGAACAACGUCCGAUCAAGCUUAUCCUCUUCAUGUGUAUCUUCAGGGUGAGGGAUUUUCUGUGGUUGAGGCGUCUCGGCACUGAGGCAUUUGUUUCUCAAAAGAUCACCACAGAGUAGAGGAUUGCCAGCAUAAAUGGAAGGAUCGUCGAGUGUUUGGAUUUGAUUCCCUUUUGGAAUCUGCCCCAUAAGGUCGUUUUGCGACAAGUUGAGGUGAGCUAGGGAUGUUAAUGUUGAAAUGCCUUGCGGAAUUGUCCUUGAGAGAUGGUUGUUUGAAAGAUCAAGAGACUCGAGUGAUGUCAUGUUCCCAAUGCCAAUGGGAAUAUUUCCAGAGAGAUGGUUGUGAGACAAGUUCAAGCCAUGCAAUUUUGAGAGGAAAGAAAGUUCUUCGGGGAUUGACCCGUUCAAAAAGUUGCUAGAGAGAUCUAAAUUGACCACAAGUCGCAGAACAAUUUUGGUGUACUCGUUAUAUCUUCCCUUCAUGAUCUCAACCACGUGCUCUUGACCCCAAUUAAUAUCGGCUUCAAAUGACAAGGAAUUCAUAUCUUGUAUAGGAGCGAUGGCCACAGAUCCAAAUAAAUUGGUUUGAUUCAAGUUGAUCAUGCCACUCAUGUUGCCAAGACAAUGUGGGAUCAUUCUCGUCAAAUUGUUCACUGCCAUGUCUAAUAUUUUCAAUCUUGAUAGUGAGCAGAGCUGCGGAGGGAUGUUGCCGACAAACCUAUUCUCUCGUACCCUCAGGAUCGACAAGGACUGAAAGCUUUCGUCAAACCAUGUCAGAAUGCUUCCAGACAAAUCAUUCUCUCCAAGGUCUAAAAUUACCAAAUCUGUGCAAUAAUCUAAAGCCCGAGGAAGCUCCCCAUUGAGAUGGUUUCCAUUCAAGUGUAGGGUGGUAAGGUGGGGCAAUGAUCCAAGUGAGCUAGGAAUUACUCCGGACAACUUAUUGAAUGACAAAGUCAAGAAUGAUAAAGAACCCUUCCAACAGUCUGGAAUACUGCCAGAUAGGCUAUUAUUGGCAAGAUUUAAAUUAAACAACUCCAUGUCGCAUAAUGAUGAUGGUAGAAUACCACCAAGUAGGUUGUCAUUGAGAUACAAAGUAUGUACUUGGUACAUAAUACCAAUAUCUGUUGGAAGAGAACCGGAGAUCAAGUUGUGGGAGAGAUAUAAAUGGGAACAAUUAAUAAACAUGUUGGGCAAGGGUCCAGUAAUCUGAUUGUAGGAUAGAUAGAGCACUGAAAACUUCAAGUUAGCUGACCAUUUUGGCAAGGGCCCAGUAAUUUGAUUGUAGAUAGAUCGAGCCAUGAAAAAUUCAAGUUAGCUGACCAUUUUGGCAAGGGCCCCAGUAAUUUGAUUGUAGAUAGAUCGAGCCAUGAAAAAUUCAAGUUAGCUGACCAUUUUGGCAAGGGCCCAGUAAUUUGAUUGCAAGAUAGAUCGAGCCAUGAAAAAUUCAAGUUAGCUGACCAUUUUGGCAAGGGCCCAGUAAUCUGAUUGUAAGAUAGAUCAAGCCUGGAAAAUGUCAAGUUGACUGACCAUUCUGGCAAGAGUUCAGUAAUCUGAUUGUAAUAUAGAUAAAGCCAAGAAAAUGUCAUGUUGACUGACCAUUCUGGCAAGGGCCCACUAAUCUGAUUGUAAGAUAGAUCAAGCUUGAAAAACAUCAAGUUGGCUGACCAUUUUGGCAAGGUAAUCUGAUUGUAAGAUAGAUCGAGCUGGGAAAAUGUCAAGUUGGCUAACCAAUUCGGUAAGGGCCCAAAAAGGGAAGCAUUGGAGAGCCUGAUAUCUAUGGCGUUCACUUGUGUUUGAAUCCAUCGGGGAACUUUAGCUCCGAAUUUACAAGAGUUCAUCCCGAUAUAAAGCAGUUGGAAAGGGGGUAUCCAGUUGGGUUUUGCCUUAAAACUCAAAUUAUUAUUGUCACCAAUCUCCAAAUCCUUGAGCCUCGACAAAUUAGAAAAAUGGAUUUCGGUAAUCACACCUUCUAAAUGAUUAUUGUAAAGAAACAACUCUUGCAAAACCCCCAAUUUCCCUAAUGACUCAGGAAUAUGCCCCCCCCCCCCAAUUGAUUAUCAGAAAGAUCUAACGAUCUUAAUGAUGACAACUGACCUAUUAAUGGUGGAAUGGUCCCAUUCAAUCUAUUACCCAUAAGACCUAGUGUUUCCAAGUUUGACAAUGAUCCAAUGACACUAGGGAUUGGACCGAAGAAGAAAUUGACAGAAAGCUCGAUAUUUUUCAAGUUUGUGAAGUGCUCCAACCAGUCGGGUAGAGCACCCUUAAGAUAAUUUGAACAUAUCUCUAGACUCUCUAAGCUACUCUCGAUGAGUCCUAAUGAAUUUCCUUGGGUUGUCGAAAUCUCUUCUUCGAUUUGGUUAGCACACAAAUGCAAUGACUUGAGGUACUGCAUGUUCUUUAAGAAUGAGAAUAAGUCUCCUUCAAUGUUGUCAAAACCAUUUUCCUCGAGAUUGAGAUGAGCAAGGCUUGUAAACUUAUCAAACCACAUGGGAAUUGAUAAGUUGAAAGAGUUAUAUGAAAGAUUAAGAUGCUGAAGAGAAGCCAUGUUUUGAAACAAAGUGCUUGGGAUGGGACCUUUGAAAUGAUUACUCGAAAGAUCGAGGUACUGAAGAUGAACAAGAGAAGUAAAAUUGGCCAAGUGAUUAGAAGACAUAUGAAAAUUAUGUAAUCUACAGCCUGAUAAGCUGUGAUAAAGCUGGGAGCAUGCUGAUCACCUGCAUGAGGACUCUUUUGUUCACAAUCCUUGCGCCACUCAUGUCGAGGUACUUUAGUGAUUGAAGAUGAGAAACCCACGGGAUAUCAUCCACAACCAAANNNNNNNNNNNNNNNNNNNNNNNNNNNNNNNNNNNNNNNNNNNNNNNNNNNNNNNNNNNNNNNNNNNNNNNNNNNNNNNNNNNNNNNNNNNNNNNNNNNNCCUCGCCGCUCUACGCCAGUCUCUCUCGUGCUAUGCCCGUCGCCGAGGCCGCUCGCCCGAACCCUCGCCGCUCGACGCCAGUCUCUCCCGUUCUCUGCCCGUCGCCGAGGCCGCUUUGCCCGUCGCCAACGCCUCUUGCCCUCGAGGCCGCCGCCGGACGCCGCAGGCCAUGCCGCCGCCGCUCGACGCCAGUCGCUGGACUCGUUUAUCACGAAGCCUAAGGGUCCCUGUUAUGGAAACAUUGCGAUUUGCCUUCUCUUGAAUUCAGCAUUUGCCAGGAUCAAUCAAGGUACGGUCCUCAUCUAAUCUCGCUUUCCGUCAAUCUUAAGGUGACGCUUUUAGCACGCGUCGAUGUCGUUCUUCUUGUUGAUGAUAAUGGAGGCGUGCUGAGGAUGAAUGUUCUGUUCUUGUUGAUGAUAAUGGAGGCGUGCUGGGGAUGAAUGUUCUGUUCUUGGUGUAUGUUGUUCUUCUUGUUAAUGAUAAUGGAGGCGUGCUGAGGAUGAAUGUUUUGUUCUUGGUGAAUGUGAUCUGGGUGCUUUGUGUGCACGGUGCUUUGUGAUCUGGGUGCUUUGGAGUGAAUAUUCACCAUGUUGAAAGUUGCUGGCGAGUGUAGAUUUGAUGCUAAAGAAAUCUGAAGGACCAAAUUGAUGUUUUGCUGAAGUAAAUUAGAACAUUAUGGUGCUGUGUUUUGAAUCUUUUAUUCAAACAUGUUUCAACUUUACUCCAGUUACUUGAUCUGCUGUCGAAUGUCGUUCGUACAUAGCAUGGUAAAUGUCUAUAUUAUUAUAUGCACACUCUAUUUAUAAUCUACAUUCUUCACAACCACUAAACUCCCGUUGAUCUUGCAGAGACAGAACACAUUUUCAUUGCUAGAGAGAGCGAUUGGGGUUUCACAUCCUUUAUUCUUACCUGUUGCUCGGUUAUUUACCAUGACUUUGACCAUUGGUUCAGCUUUGCAUGUUAAUUAUCUUGGUUGAAGUUUAUGGUAAGGAUUCUUUCCUGACUGAAGUUUUUUCACAUUUCAGGAAACUAUCUGUGUUAAGAGAUAACUUCAACACCUCUAAGAUGAAGUUCUUGAAAUUUGACACCAAUGGCUUUGAGAAGAUGUUAUUCAGCGCCUUUGCAUGUCAAAGGAGACAAAGAUUGUGCUUACAUAAUUCUACCGCCCCAAUCUACGUUUUUCUGAGUUUGUUGUUUUCUUUUGUUCUAAGGAUUGGAUUAGGUUUUUUUGUGUUCAUAGGGAUAUUUAAGUGCUUGAAAACAGAAAUAUGCACCAGCAUGAUUUUUGGUAGAUUUACUCCUAAUAUGAACCUGCUGUUAACAGGUUAAGCAUAGCAGAGAACUUCUUCAUGGACUUACAAAAAGGAUUUCCAUGUUUUGAUAAAAACAUAUGGUUUGAGAAGAAAGAUCGGUGACAGCCAGCAUAUCCGAUAAUUCAAAUUUAAAAAUGAAGAAAAAAAAAAAGAACCUGUUGGAACCUGAAACCGACCCUGGAACCUGUGACCGGGUAGGUUCCAGGUUCUUGGUUCUGAUGGGUAGGUUCCAGGUUCCAAAUUUUUUGGAACCUGUACCCGAGGGUAGGUUCCAGGUUCCAGACGGAACCGAAUCGGAACCUGGAACCGCUCACCCCUAUUGCCGACAAACCUAUUCUCUUGUACCCUCAGGAUCGACAAGGACUGAAAGCUUUCGUCAAACCAUGUCGGAAUGCUUCCAGACAAAUCAUUCUCUCCAAGGUCUAAAAUUACCAAAUCUGUGCAAUAAUCUAAAGCCUGAGGAAGCUCCCCAUUGAGAUGGUUUCCAUUCAAGUGUAGGGUGGUAAGGUGGGGUAAUGAUCCAAGUGACCUAGGAAUUACUCCGGACAACUUAUUGAAUGACAAAGUCAAGAAUGAUAAAGAACCCUUCCAACAGUCUGGAAUACUGCCAGAUAGGCUAUUAUUGGCAAGAUUUAAAUUAAACAACUCCAUGUCGCAUAAUGAUGAUGGUAGAAUACCACCAAGUAGGUUGUCAUUGAGAUACAAAGUAUGUACUUGGUACAUAAUACCAAUAUCUGUUGGAAGAGAACCGGAGAUCAAGUUGUGGGAGAGAUAUAAAUGGGAACAAUUAAUAAACAUGUUGGGCAAGGGUCCAGUAAUCUGAUUGUAGGAUAGAUAGAGCACUGAAAACUUCAAGUUAGCUGACCAUUUUGGCAAGGGCCCAGUAAUUUGAUUGUAAGAUAGAUCGAGCCAUGGAAAAUUCAAGUUAGCUGACCAUUUUGGCAAGGGCCCAGUAAUUUGAUUGUAAGAUAGAUCGAGCCAUGAAAAAUUCAAGUUAGCUGACCAUUUUGGCAAAGGCCCAGUAAUUUGAUUGCAAGAUAGAUCGAGCCAUGAAAAAUUCAAGUUAGCUGACCAUUUUGGCAAGGGCCCUGUAAUCUGAUUGUAAGAUAGAUCAAACCCGGAAAAUGUCAAGUUGACUGACCAUUCUGGCAAGGGUCCAGUAAUCUGAUUGUAAUAUAGAUAAAGCCAAAAAAAUGUCAUGUUGAUUGACCAUUUUGGCAAGGGCCCACUAAUCUGAUUGUAAGAUAGAUCAAGCUCGAAAAACAUCAAGUUGGCUGACCAUUUUGGCAAGGUAAUCUGAUUGUAAGAUAGAUCGAGCUGGGAAAAUGUCAAGUUGGCUAACCAAUUCGGUAAGGGCCCAAAAAGGGAAGCAUUGGAGAGUCUGAUAUCUAUGGCGUUCACUUGUGUUUAAAUCCAUCGGGGAACUUUAGCUCCGAAUUUACAAGAGUUCAUCCCGAUAUAAAGCAGUUGGAAAGGGGGUAUCCAGCUGGGUUUUGCCUUAAAACUCAAAUUAUUAUUGUCACCAAUCUCCAAAUCCUUGAGCCUCGACAAAUUAGAAAAAUGGAUUUCGGUAAUCACACCUUCUAAAUGAUUAUUGUAAAGAAACAACUCUUGCAAAACCCCCAAUUUCCCUAAUGACUCAGGAAUAUGCCUCCCCAAUUGAUUAUCAGAAAGAUCUAACGAUCUUAAUGAUGACAACUGACCUAUUAAUAGUGGAAUGGUCCCAUUCAAUCUAUUACCCAUAAGACCUAGUGUUUCCAAGUUUGACAAUGAUCCAAUGACACUAGGGAUUGGACCGAAGAAGAAAUUGACAGAAAGCUCGAUAUUUUUCAAGUUUGUGAAGUGCUCCAACCAGUCGGGUAGAGCACCCUUAAGAUAAUUUGAACAUAUCUCUAGACUCUCUAAGCUACUCUUGAUGAGUCCUAAUGAAUUUCCUUGGGUUGUCGAAAUCUCUUCUCCGAUUUGGUUAGCACACAAAUGCAAUGACUUGAGGUACUGCAUGUUCUUUAAGAAUGAGAAUAAGCCUCCUUCAAUGUUGUCAAAACCAUUUUCCUCGAGAUUGAGAUGAGCAAGGCUUGUAAACUUAUCAAACCACAUGGGAAUUGAUAAGUUGAAAGAGUUAUAUGAAAGAUCAAGAUGCUGAAGAGAAGUCAUGUUUUGAAACAAAGUGCUUGGGAUGGGACCUUCGAAAUGAUUACUUGAAAGAUCGAGGUACUGAAGAUGAACAAGAGAAGUAAAAUUGGCCAAGUGAUUAGAAGACAUAUGAAAAUUAUGUAAUCUACAGCCUGAUAAGCUCAAAUGUGAUAAAGCUGGGAGCAUGCUGAUCACCUGCAUGAGGACUCUUUUGUUCACAAUCCUUGCGCCACUCAUGUCGAGGUACUUUAGUGAUUGAAGAUGAGAAACCCACGGGAUAUCAUCCACAACCAAAUUUUCAUAUUCAUUAUGAAGAUCGAGGACUUCCAACUCGGUGAGAUUUCCCAAUUGUUGGGGAACCAUUCCAUAGAAGUUGGCAAACGAUAGAUUGAGGUACCUCAAUUCUUCCAUUGAACCGAUGAAUUCAGGUAUUCUUCCAUGAUUGGAAUCGAUCCCGCUUAAGUCCAAAUGGUUCAAGUAUCUCAAGCGGAGCAAAGAAGAGUUCAACUCACCACAAGCCAGGAGAAGCUUCGAUCCCAUGUGAGAAUAAGUACUAGUUUCGUCUUUUGUUGGUUGGGGUAAUAAUUGGAGAUUGAUGACAUGACCAUAUACUCUAUCACAAUUCACUCCUUCCCAUCUGCAGCACUCUCUGCCUUCCCAUGAAGAAAGCAAGCCGGAUGGAUCUACGAGGCUUCGUCGAAGCUGGAGCAGAGCCUCUCUUUCUUGCUCUCUGCAAAUGGACGUUGAAUUGUUACAAAAGCACACACCUGAAUUAUCUAAAACAAGUAAUAGAGUUACUAGUGUGAACACUCGGGAACAAUAUCUCCCCAUGAGCAAUGAGAGAGAGAGGAUGAAUUCCUGUUUUAGAGUGAAGAUUUUGAGGGUCCUCUAAUCAAAUCCAAAUUAUUUAUAGAGAAGGGCAGGGAGAGAUUUCUUUUUUAACGAGACAAGUUGUGGUUUCGUACAUGAACCUUAUGUCCAUGCAUGUGUAUCAUGUAUAUGUAGCGCAUUUAAGAUCCACAUAUGAAAGUCGUCGUCGGGGAGAAAAGGCUCAUCCAUUCUUGCAGUUGGAGUUCAUAAAUUGAUGACCUGACCCCAUCUAGAUGAGACAUCCCCGUCAACUUGGAAGAAAGAGUAGCGCCAUUACGGAGAUUGCGGACAAGCCCGUCCAAUAUUCUGCAGUGCUGGUCUUGGAUAAAGUCAAGUCUUUUGGGUCCAUGUCAUUAUUCAUGUCAAGGUCGUUUCUCGGUCUACAUUGCGAGUUUUUAAAGACACCGUUUGUUUUACGUUUUUAUCUUAACUAGAUUACCAACUCUGGAACAAUAAAGCUAACUGGUCUUCUUGCUCAUAAGGAUGAUGGUAAUGUACCAUUCAUUAGGAUUUGACGGAGACACAAUAGAAGAGGUAGAGAGAUUUAAACUGUCGGAGAGAUCUUAAUCAGAACCGCUAAAAGGUACAUAUAUUGGAUAAGGGCGUGGUAAUUUGAGUGUGAAGACAAAUCAAGCCACAAAGUUCACAUGUUGGCUGACCAUAUAGGCGAAGCCUCCAAAAUGGAGGCAUUGCAGAGAGAGAAGCCAUGGUCCUCCACUUGCGUCUGCGUCCAUUGUGGAAAUGUCAAUCCAGUUGGGAUUUGCCUUAGAAGUCGGGUAAUUAUCGCUAAUAUCCAAAUACUACAGGCUAGACCUAGUUUAUGUGGAGUAUGGAUCGCUCGGGCAUAGGGAGCAAAAUAUCGGAGCGCGGAACGUCAUUCGUGCCAAACGAUAGGGGUAGACUUCUUUUAAUCAUGUAAUUAGUAUCAUACAUGAUUUUGCAGUUACAACAAAGAUAAUAUAGGCAGUAUAAUGUGUUUCUAACGUAUCAUGUUCAAAGAAGAAUUAUUAUUUUAAAUUGUGUUUUCAAUUACAAAAAUUAUCAGCAUGAAAAAUAUAUCUCAAAUAAAUAAUAAAGAUUAGUACAUUGAAACGUCUGAAAUGCUCAUUUUAGUAUAUGGAUGCAUUCUCAUCUCAGAUGAUAUUCUGUGCACCUAGGAUUUACGGCCGUGUAAGAGACGAAUGCACACAUCUAGCAUAUCGAGUAAUUGCUGUGUGAGAGGCGAAUGCAUACAUGUGCCUUUCAAUCAAAGUUCAUGAAAAUGAAAGUCCGCGCAUAACUCCAAUUCGAGUCAAUAUUUACCACUUUUUAAAGUUCAUGAAAAUGAAAACCCACCGAUAACUCCAAGUCAAAGUCAAUGUUUAUGACAUUUCAGAAUAAUAACUUACUUCAUCUUUAGAGCUAGUCCAUGUUGAUUUGGUUGCAUUUAUUUCUUUUUUCCGUAAGUAAAUAUCGUGUAUUCGCAAAACUCCAGCAACUGUGGGAGGACAAAUUGUUUUACUACCCUCUGCAUUUAUGCAAAAGCUUCAUUCUCCCCCCUUUUUUUGUUAAAAAUAUUAAAUCUAGAUUUGCGAGACUUUUUCAAUAACAUGUAAUUAAUGAAUUAGUCGCUCGAAACACAAAAGCAAGUCACAAAAGCUUUUACACUUUCUACUCAACAAAUAAACAGUUUUCAGAAAUUCUGACAGACUACACUUGUGGAGAGAUUUCGUUAUGUACACGCAUUCUAUUAUUAUGAAAUGUAAAAAUCACCAUUUGAGUGUGAAUUAUAGGUAAGGUAACACUGGUAAUCCACGAAUAACUCCAGAUAAAGUGAACAUUCUCUCUCUCUCCAUAAAAAAAGAACUUCCCUAAUGAUACGUGUUGAUGUCGCGAUCAAUUCUUAAAAGAUUUUGAUCACAUCCUAAUAAAAAGAACUUAACAAUGAUACAUUUUAUCAAUUAGAUUGAGCAAUAAAACAAAGGCAAUGUAGUGUCCAUCGUAAGAUUAUUACGGUAAAUUUAUAGAAAGAAAAGGGCUUACUUUUUACCUUAAUUACAUCAUUUUCAUUCAACUGACAAAGUUUCUAGCUUUCUGCAUUGUAGUCGAGAACUUGGAAUUAACAAGAACAUACAUCAAAUGCUUCUGACUAAUUACUUCGCAUGAAUUUCCAAGCUUUUGGUAUUCUGAAAUUGCUUCAAUAGUUUUGCAUCAAGAGUAGAAAGGAUUGGUCUCAACUGUUUCAUCUGAUAAUGGACAUGAACAUUGUUGGAUCCUUACUCGAGCGGUUCCACCCUAAGCUUCUCAUUGUUAAGAAGGUGCCUUCGGUAUUGGUACCUUAGACAGGAAGCUCUUGAAUAAAGCAUGUGCCAGAGAGAGAGAGAGAGAGAGAGAGAGAGAGAGAGAGAGAGAGAGAGAGAGAGAGAUUGGCACUUCAACACCACAAAUAUAUAUGCUUUUCCAAAAACACAUAGAAUGGCCUCUACAGCAGGGUCAUGCUUAUCCUUCUUCCUCUCAUCACUAAGCAUGACUGAAUCAACUCAAUUAAGCUCUUCUCCUGGCUCUGCUUCCUAUUAAUGUCGAAAUAUGUCUCGAGCUUGAGUUUGUAAGUGAAAGUCUAAAUUCAUAUAAGAGAUUUUCUAUUUGGAAAUUCGAUGGACAAAUAAACAAUAAAUUUAAAAACUUAAAAGUGAAGUCCAAGUUGGAUUAAGUUUCAGAACAAAUUAGGGAUAUCAACUUUCCAAAUUUGGGUUGGAUUCGGCAAGGCCUAGAGUUCCACCUUUAAUAUAUAAAAUAAGCAAAUCUCUUUUGGGAGUUAGCCUUGUUGAUUCGCCAUUCAUGGAAAGUUCCCGGGUCCGUCGAAUUCUCAUACCAUUGUUGGAGAAUAAUUCGUGAAUUAAGUCUCAUUAAGUUGGUGUUCAAGCCGUGAAAUCAUGCAGUAAGAUUUGGAUAUUUCUUUGUGAUAUUGAGAAAUAUUUCGUGAGAAAUUGUGAAGAAUAAACAUUAUUGAGUUUAAUUAGAAAAAAAUAUUUAAAAAGUAAUAAAUUUUGUCCAUAUCAACGCCGGUCAUACCAUGUAGGACGACUAGCAUCUACAUCAGCGAAUUUCGGCCAAGAUUGACUCAAUUGGCUAAAAGUGAAAAAGUUUAUGACUCAAUUGACAAAAUUAAAAAGGUUUAUGACUAAAAGUUGACAAAAGUGCAAUAGGUUUAUGACUUUUUUGAUAAUUUUCCCACAUUUUCAUGUGUCAAGUCGGAAGAUUUCUGAAAUGUGUCUAUGAUGCAGCUUUAGUAGAGAGCAGCUUUUAAAUCGCUUUUAAAUCGGAAGAUUACUCGAGUGAUUUCUGAAAUGUGUCAAGUCGGAAGAUUAUUCGAGUGAUUUGACAAUGAUGGUGAGCUAUAGUAGAGAGCAGCUUUUAAAUCGCUUUUCUAGUUUCUCCAUUUAGAGUUCAUGGAAUGCAAAAUGCAUUUUUCCAUAACUCGAAUUUCAAGGAUACUAAAACCUGUACUACAUUAAAGAAAAAUUCACCAACAUAAAUUGAGAUGGGUCUAUGAUGCAUUGUCUAAGCUGGAGCAAAGCCUCUCCUUUUUGCUCUCUGCAAAUGGAAGUUGAGUUUUUAGAGCAGCAAACACAUGAAUUAUUUAAAAAGAGCAAUAGAGUUACUAGUGAAAGGACUUGAGAAAAAUAUCUCCCCAUGAGCAACAAGGGAUGGUCUCGCAGGCAGAGAACAAAUUUAUACUUUAGAGAGUGGGGGUUUAAGGAUCCUCUAAUUAAAUCCAGAUCAAUUAUAGAGAAGCAAGGGGGAGAUUUUUCUUUCAAUGUGACAAGUUGGGGUUCCAAACAUGCACCAUAUGUGGAUGCAUGUGUGCCAUCUCGAAGGAUGUAUGUGUAGCACACGUAAGGUCCACGUAUCAUAAUCACCGUCCAAGAAGAGAUGGCACAUCCAUUCUUGCAAUUAGAGUUUGUCAAUUAAUAACUAGGCCCCAUCCAAAGGACAUAAUUCAACCUCUAAAAAUUAGUCCAAGUGAAAAGCAGCUCCACUAAGGAGAUAGUGGAGAAUUACACUUAAUUUAUGUAGUGCCGUACACGGACUAAGUCAAGUCUUAGGGGUUAAUAAUUGUUUCUCUAAAUGCGUGCUUAGUACCGCUCAAUUCAAGUUAUGAUUUUUACUAAAUUAUCAAUUUCGAAAUAAUGAUCUUAAUUAGUCUUGUUGCUUGUGCAACGCACGGGAAUAUGUUGGUCAUUGCUUAAAAAGCAAGACAAUAGAAAACAUCAUCGAAAAAUAUAUUGCGAUUACUUUCGCAACAUCACAAAUGUAAUUAUUUUCUGAAUUCUGCCCCCACAACACCUAUGUUAAACUUGAGUUUGCUUUGCCCAUAAAAACUCUAGAUAAAUGAUGAUUUUGACCUUAGAAAACAUAAAUGGUUCAAUCUGUAAAAGAACUUUAUCUAUGUAGGCUUUUCCUUCAAUAGAAAGAUAUAAUUUGAUUCUUUAGUUGUGCGUUUAGUGUUUCCCAUGGGUGUAAAUCACUAAACAAAUAGUGAUGGUAAUAAAGCAAGGCAUCAUUAGCGCAAUUCAUGUGCAGCAAGUGAAAGGGUCAGAGGACCAUUCCAACAUAUAAACCACACUAAGAAACUCAGAGCUAUCAAAAAAAUAAAAUAAGAGAAAAAUCCUCCCAAGAAAAAAGAAUCAGACCGCAUGUGUAUCUUAUUUUAUAGUAUAAAAAAAAAAAGGUCUGACAACGAGUAGGGAUAAACAUUCAAUAUCACUGCUAAAAGCAUUUAAAAAGAAAAAGAAAAAGAAAACAAACAAAAUCUAACCACCGACUAUGUUGUAAAGGAAAAUGUAGCAACAAGCUUUGAAUGGAUACGAUAUGAGAAGGUUUGAGGAAUUCAAACUCAAUAAACAGUUUAAAUCUUCCGUAGACUCAAAUCCCGUGCAACCAAUUGAUGAUGAGUUAUAAUGCAGUAACGUUUAUCAGAGAUAAAGCCUGGUUUAGAUUGGAGAACAGCAUGGUUGUUUUUUACCACGGAGAUCAAAGGUCACUAACGAAGGGGAAGAUAAGAGAAGCUAAGGAUCGUAUCUUGUCAUCAAUUUCGAUACUCGUAGAUUGGAAUCAAUCAAGAGGCCUUUGAGCCUAAAAAACACAGAAAAUCAAGGUAAAAUAUAAACAUAGUCGAAGGAAGAAAACGAAGUUUUGGCAAAUUACUUUGACGAGUUUCUAGGAUAGAUGGGACGAUCAUAAACUGCAACAUUCCUCGUUCAGGAAGCAAGUAGUUGCGCAGAAAACCCACGACCCGAUGUACUUUAGAAACCAACUUGUGAUCAAGUAACCUUUGUUGGAGAAAUCUUUCCAGAAUAUUUUGAAGCUGACAAAACGAUUCUAUCAGUCUAGUAUGGAUAAAUACAGACCUUCUGUUUAGAGUCUGAAGACUUUCAGAUCACCAGACUCAGCUGUCACGCCCCGAUCCUCGGACGCGCGCACAUCCUUCUACUUGGUCGAUUUUAGAAUGCGAUAUCCCAGGACUAUGUAUCGCCGACCAUUUCUUUUAUUUAAGCACAUGCGGAAGCAGUUAUAAAUCCCCAGACAAUAAAACAAUGUGAUAGGAAAGUAGGCCAUAUUUUUCAUAUUGAAAUUCAUAACCAGACUUUCAUUAACAGUACAACUUAUAGUAUAUUUACAAUACUAUUCACAACAUACUUGUCUCACACCUAUCUAUACUAAGACAGGGUUUACAAAAGGGAUGGGAUCUCAGUCCACAUCCGGGUUAUAUUCAAGAUCCCUCUCUGGAUCAUCUUCUUCUUCAAAAGUCUUUCUCCCCUUCAGGUUCCUCUUCCUUAACUUCUCCUCAGGGUCCUGAAAUAGUUAUUCAAUAACCAAUGAGACCAUGUCUCAGCGAGUCCUACCCCCUACGACUCGAUUAGUAAACUAAUACGCCAUACGGUUGCCUAAGCACAACACGAGUCAGAGGACUUACCUUGGCCUCAGAUUCCACCUGCAUAUUAGUACAUAUUAAAUAGGCACCCAAGCAAACCCAUCACAGAUCGAAGCAUCGAUCAAAUCGACCUAGUCGAUUACAUGUCAAUCAGACCAUCUCAUGGUCAUUUCCAAUCAAUCAGUCAAUUCAUAAUAUCAGAUCAAAGCAAUGAUCAAUCGACCUAGUCGAUUACAUAUCAACAAGACCACUUCUGGUCAUUUCAACUAUUCCAAUUCAAUUCCCAAUUAUGAAUCACGGUCCUUAAGACACAACUUAAUUAUAGGUGGUAAUCACGGCCCCACCGAGCAAUUUUCUUAGAUUUAGUGGCAUCACGGCCCCACUCGGCAAUGUUAUAUGUAGUGGCAUCACGGCCCCACUCGGCAACUUUCAAUAUGUAGUGGCAUCACGGCCCCACUCGGCAAUGUUAUAUGUAGUGGCAUCACGGCCCCACUCGGCAACUUUCACUAUGUAGUGGCAUCACGGCCCCACUCGGCAAUGUUAUAUGUAGUGGCAUCACGGCCCCACUCGGCAACUUUCAAUAUGUAAUGGCAUUAUCAACCGAUGCCCGGUUAUUCUUCAAUUAAUAACCAAAGAUGAUUCAAUUUAGGAAUAAAUCAUAAAAUCAUUGAUAAAUUCAAUUCCACACAACGUAGAGCUCAAAUAAAUAAAUGGGCUGCACCACGACAAUCAGCACGAAAUUCCGGUCACCGGCCAUCCCGGUUGAAUUUCCGGAAAAAUAAAUAAAUAAUUAAUUAAUUUCGAAAAUAAAUAAAUAAAUAUUAAAAAUCCAAUUUAGGCCCAUAUUGCCUUAUUGGAGCCCGAAACGGGUCGGGAAAAAUCCCGAUAUGCAUUCAAUAAAUAACCAAACAUUUCUACUUGCUAAUAUCUAGGUCUAACCACCUAACAUGCAUCAUUAAGUCACUAAAUUAAUUGUUCUAACCUAAUCUAACCACCUAAGUGCAUGUAAUUAAAUCUAACCAACCCUAAGGCAUAAUUAGCAAACUAAUAAAGCAUUAGUGAGUAAAACUCACUUGGAAAAAGCGGGGAUCGAAUCACCACGACGGCGACGCGACGGCGGCCGAAAUCGGACUUUCGACGACACCGGCGGACUUGGACCGGGCCUUAAGCUUAGGCCCAACAAAUCUCAGCCCAAUUGAGAUUUGUUCUUGCACUGGAAUGGGCUGGACCUGCUGAAUUUCUGGACUGAACUAACUGCGCUAGCUGAACUGGGCUUGCUGGUCUUGUGCUGAAUUCGGUGGCCCAAAGGACUGAAGCUCACGGGCUGGGCUUGCUGCAGGGCUUGGUCUUCGGAUGGGUUGCUGGAGUUGACCGGUCUAGCGGAAUACUCGAAGAAGCAGCUCGUUGCUGUUGCUAGGCGGAACACGAAAUCAACGCUGGUGGAGGGCGCUGGUUCGUUGAUCGUUGAAGAUGCGCAGGCAGUUGGCGGAGAGGCGCACAAAUUGUUGGUGAAGGCCACGCGUUGAGAAGAAGCGGACGAGGGCAGCUUCUUCAGUGGCUUCGCUCGAUGGUCAACAAAAAUGGGAGGAGAUCUGCUGCUGUUAACCGAAGAUGACGCGUGGAGAGGCUGGCCGAAACGGUGGAGGUUGAGAGGCUUCGGUGGAACAUGGAUGAAGAGAAGCAACACUUGUGGCGGUUGCUGAAGCCGUUGACGAAGGCUGGAGUUUUGAAGCCGCGUGGAGAUGGAUGAACCGCAGCAGUUUCGAUCAACACCUGGGGACUUCGCUUGAGGAAUUUCACUGAAGUUGACCAAGAGAGCAAGAGAUGGUGGAGCAGGGGUGAGCUGGCCGCGUGAGAGGGGGCAAACGGGCGAAGGGAGAGAGAGAUAUCGUGGGCUGUGUCUUCAGUGGGAUGGCAGAGAAGUGGAGUUGAGGAAGACACGCGGAGGAGGCUUUGCUUAUCUGGACUUCGACCGAAAGAAAAUGAAGCAGAAGCUGAGACCGCAGAGUUAAAAAUGAAGAGGAGCCGUGCGUGAGGAAGAAGAUAAGAGAGAGGGUGGGCCAUCCUUGCCAAUUUUCCACAAGAAAUAUCUUCAACAAUCAAUCUAGGCCAAGCAUUAAACCUUGGCCUUCAUUAGGCCACACCAACAACUCUCACAACUUCUCAAUUGGUCAAUUUUGGGCUAGGGGGAGGGGAUGAUACGAAUUUCACCAUUUGAACUUCAAUUUCUCAAAUAAAUUCCCAAAUUGAGGUCCAAUUUCGACUUAGAAAAAUCCCAAGAAAUUCUCUAUAAAUCUCCGACACACACGGGCUCAACCCGAAAGUCAAAUUGCCCAUUAAUUUAGCCAAUCUGAACUUCUGCCAAAUUUCCGCGACGUCCGAACCCAAUUUCCGUAAAAUUUCCCGAAUCUCCGAAAAUCUUCUGAGACUGAGUCGAUGCUCUAAAAAUUUAUUGUGACAUGGCCAAAACUUCAAUUUCUGAAAUCGGACUCGAAUUGGCGGUUAAUUUUCAUUCGGCGCGUUUUUAGCGUGACCUAGACUAUCGGGUAGUUUUCAGAACUUUUUAAGGCAAAUGACCCGUGGUCGAUUUUCUUCGAGCCACUAUGAACCCACUCGACUCAAUGGCGACUCUUGAUUGUCGUGAAAAUCUCGAGGAUUCAAUUACGGACACAGGGUACCAAAACAAUGAGAAAAUCAGUCUAGUGUUGGCCGAUGAGAAUUUUCUAAUUCAGUGGUGUCACCCACGAUUAGUCACAUAUCUCUAUCGAUCCAGUCUAUCUCUGAUUUCAAAUCGAUUUUUAACUGUGCCGUAGUGACCUCUAAAGAUGGACACGAUCAAGAAGCCGAUUCCUGAUCGAGUUCUCAAGUCUAUUGCCGUAAAAUUCCUUAAUAAUUUCCCCAGAUAUUCUAGUUAUCUCGAGAGUGAUCGGCUCUGAGAAUAACCCUAUAGACGCGUCAAUGAAAUGCCCGAUUUAUUCAGUAGAAGACAGGGUUGAAAAUUUGGGAUGUCACAUCAGCACUCAAGACUCAAGACUCAAGACUAUUCUCAUUGACAGUUUUUUCUAAUCUAGUGACGAAGGCAAUCCAGAGCCGAAGUAUUUGGUUGAGGAUUUAGUCCUAUCCUCUGGAGAAGAUCUCUUGGCUGGAUAAAAAUAACGGAUUCUUUUAUUCGUAAUCAAGAUCGUUUGAAGAUCCGAUGGUCGACGAAAUAUUCUUGGAAGGUUCUAUUCUUGGAAACCAAGAUCCUGAUUGUAUGGGCGAAUAGGAUUGAUGGGCUAUCGUCAGGUUCCUUUAAUAGCUCGAAUGAUCUUCUUGAUUGAUUCCGUCCAACGGGUAGAUUGGAGGAAUUCCUUUGGUAAGUGCCAACGGGUAUGAUGGCAUAAAGGAGUAUAAAAGGAAGACGUUCUAGUUGCUUUAGUGCAUGACAGAUAGAGAAAUUCCAGAGUCUGAAGCACCUUGAUUAUUAGUCGAUACAUUUUGAGCGAAAUUGUAUACACAAAGAGUGUCUAUACUUAGUGAUAUCUUGAGCGUGUGUGGUAGAUCAUCUACACCGAGAAAUCAAGGGAGAACAACGCUGUAACAUCUCUUUGUUCAUAGUGGAAUCCAGCCAAUAGGCUGUCAGUGCAGAAGAGUAGACGUAGGCUUGAAAUAAACCGAACCACUAUAAACCGCAUGUUCAAUUUUCUCUUCUCUCAGUCUUACUUUGAUUAUUGUUUGUCUCAAAUCUAUCAACUGUCUAGUAUUGUGCAAUUAUCGAGAAAAAUCCUUUAUAUACCUAUUCACCCCCCUCUAGGUACUAUACUAGCUAUAUCAACCUUAAGUAAUUUAAGAUGUUGGUAAGGUUAAAUUCAGAUUCUACACAGAGGCCGACAAUACAUAAGCUUCCAGGCAAACUCAUCCUGUGCAAACUUUGAGAACCGGGACCAUCCCCAUUUUCUAUUGGCAAAUCAGCGCCUUUGCCUUCGACUUUAUCUUUCUUGGUCAAAGGAAGGAAACAAACAACUUCAGGUUCAAGGGACAAGCAAAAUUCAGGCUUGCGGAUGGGUACUUAGAGAGACAAUAGAAGCAAAUAUUCAUAAAUGGAAUUAAAAAAGCUGCAAAAUUUCGGUUGAGAUUUCUGAUUUAGUUGGUAAAUUCCUAAUGUCGUUGCUAAAAAUAUGCGGAUGGGGCUGCAAAAUUUCCAUGUUGGCGUUACAUACGCCAUGCUAAGUGGCUAUAUUGAAAACCUUAAAAUAAAGGGUAGACCUAGGUUACCCGGCAUGUGGACUGGGAUGUGGAACGAAAAAGGGAUUGUGAAACUGGUACUUGUCAAAAAUGUGGUACGAUAAAGGUGGACUUCUGUUGAGCAUGUGAUUAGGAUAAGACCUAAUUUUGUAGUUACAAUAUAGAUGAUAUAGGUCGUAUAAUGUGUUUCUAACAUAUUUGAGCCACUAAGUUUCAUGUUCACACAAGAAUUACUAUUUAUAAUUCAAUACAAAAAUAUUAUCAUGAAAUUAUAGUUUAGGUAAGUAAUAACGAUUAGUGUAUUAAAAUGUUCACAAUACUCAUUUACUUUAUGGGUAUGUUCUCAUCUCAUAGGAUGUCUUGUGCAACCGAGGUCUAAGUGCCUUGUGGGAGAUGUAUUCACGCAUCUAACAUAUUUAAUAAUAGUAGAGAAUCUAAUCUAUCGUUUUGGUUUUCAAUCAUAAUAAAAAGAGAAUUUACAUGUUCCUUUCUUCUCAUAUGAUAUCCUAUGCAUUUUGAAUCUACAUGCCGUGCAAAAAACGAAUGCAUGCAUCUAGCAUAUCUAAUAAUAAUAAAAAAUCUAAUCUACCACUUUGGUUUUCAAUCGCAAUAAAAAAAUAGUUUACAUGUUCCUUUCAGUCAAAGUUCGCGAAAAUGAAAGUCAAUGAAUAACUUACACGCCAAGUUCAGAAACUGUUGAUCACUUUUUAAAGUUCAUGAAAAUGAAAGUCCACAAAUAACUCCAAGUCAAAGUCAACAUUUAUGACUUUUUGAAUAAUCAUCACUUCCUUCAUCUUUAGAGCUACUCCAAUAUUCUUUUUAUUUUGGGAUAAGUGUAAUAAAAAUCCUAAAACUUGUCAUGAAAAUACAAUUAAGUUUUAUACUUACAAAAGUACAAUCAAGUUUAAGGGUGCAUUUGGGAAUGGCCAUAGGAAGGAGCUUUGAGUGUCCAAAACUCAUUUGGCCAAAUAUUGGGUGUCUGGUAAUAAUUUUGAAAGAUCAAGCCACAAAAGUGAUUUGUUAGGCUGAAUACAUGGGCAAAGCCCAAUAUAUGGAAGCACUUGAGAGAGUUAUGACAUGGUCCUCUUCUUGUGUCUCCAUCCAUUGUGGAAAUGUUGCUCCAAAUAAUUCCAAGUUGGAAAAUCGGCCACUUAGGAUCUGCCCUAAAAGUCAAGUAAAUUAUCGCUAAUACUUUAAGGCUAGACCUUACCUGGCGUAUGGACCGGUAUGUGGAAUGAAAAAGGGAUUGCGGAACUAUUACUUGUCAAAAAUGUGGUACGAUAAGGGUGGACUUCUGUUGAGCAUGUGAUUAGGAUAAGACUUAAUUUUGUAGUUACAAUAUAGAUAAUAUAGGUCGUAUAAUGUGUUUCUAAUGUAUUCGAGUCACUAAGUUUCAUGUUCACACAAGAAUUACUAUUUUUAAUUCAAUACGAAAAUAUUAUCAUGAAAUUAUAGUUUAGGUAAGCAAUAACGACUAGUGUAUUAAAAUGUUCACAAUGCUCAUUUUACUUUAUGGGUAUGUUCUCAUCUCAUAGGAUGUCCCAUGCGCCCAGGGUCUAAGUGCCUUGUGGGAGACGAAUUCUCGCAUCUAACAUAUUUAAUAAUAGUAGGGAAUCUAAUCUAUCGUUUUGGUUUUCAAUCAUAAUAAAAAGAGAGAUUACAUGUUCCUUUCUUCUCAUAUGAUAUCCUAUGCAUUCUGAAUGUACGUGCCAAGUAAAAAACGAAUGCAUGAAUCUAGUAUAUCUAAUAAUAAUAAAAAAUCUAAUCCCUCGCCUUGGUUUUCAAUCACAAUAAAAAAAGAGUUUACAUGUUCCUUUCAAUCAAAGUUCAUGAAAAUGAAAGUCCACAGAUAACUCUAAGUCGAAGUCAACGUUUAUGACUAUUCGAAUGAUCAUCACUUCCUUCAUCUUUAGAGCUACUCCAAUAUUCUUUUUAUUUUGGGAUAAGAGCGAUAAAAAUUUGAAAACUUGUCAUGAUAAUACAAUUAAGUCUUAUGCUUACAAAAGUACAAUCGAGUUUAAGGGUGCAUUUGGGAAUGUCCAUGGUUGAGUGUCCAAAGCCCAUUUGGCCAAAUAUUGAGUAUAUGGUAAAAUUUUUGAAAGAUCAAGCCACAAAAGUGAUCAGUUAGGGUAAAAACCUAGGAAAAGCCCUAAUAUAUAGAAGCACUUGAGAAAGUUAUGACAUGGUCCUCCUCUCGUGUCUCCAUCCAUUGUAGAAAUGUUGCUCCAAAUGAUUCCGAGUUGGAAAAUGGGCCACUUGGGAUCUGCCCUAAAAGUCAAGUAAAUUAUCUCUAGUACUUCAAGGCUAGACCUAGGUUACCCGGCGUAUGGACCAGUAUGUGGAACGAAAAAAGGGAUCGCGGAACUAUUACUUGUCAAAAAUGUGGUACGAUAAGAGUGGACUUUUGUUGAGCAUGUAACUAGGAUAAGACUUAACUUUGUAGUUACAAUAUAGAUAAUAUAGGUCGUAUAAUGUGUUUCUAACGUAUUUGAGUUACUAAAUUUCAUGUUCACACAAUAAUUACUAUUUUUAAUGCAAUACAAAAAUAUUAUCAUGAAAUUACAGUUUAGGUAAGUAAUAACGAUUAGUACAUUGAAAUAUUCACAAUGCUCAUUUUACUUUAUGGGUAUGCUCUCAUCGCAUAAGAUGUCCCGUGCACCUGAGGUCUAAGUGCCUUGUGGGAGACGAAUUCAUGCAUCUAACAUAUUUAAUAAUUGUAGGGAAUCUAAUAUAUCGUUUUGGUUUUCAAUCAUAAUAAAAAGGGAGAUUAUGUGUUCCUUUCUUCUCAUAGGAUAUCCUAUGCAUUAUGAAUAUCCAUGUCGUGUAAAAAACGAAUGCAUGCAUCUAGCACAUUUAAUAAUAAUGAAAAAUCUAAUCUAUCGCUUUGAUUUUCAAUCGAAAUAAAAAAAGAGUUUACAUGUUCCUUUCUGUUAAAGUUCACGAAAAUGAAAGUCCAUGUAUGCAUGCCAAGUUUUUGAACUUACACGCCAAGUUCAAAAACUUUGAUCACUUUUUAAAGUUCAUGAAAAUGAAAGUCCACGGAUAACUCCAAGGUGAAGUCAGCAUUUAUGACUUUUCAAAUUAUCAUCACUUCCUUCAUCUUUAGAGCUACUCCAAUAUUCUUUUUAUUUUGGGAUAAGUGCGAUAAAAAUCUAAAAACUUGUCAUGAUAAUAUAAUUAAGUCUUAUGCUUACAAAAGUACAAUCAAGUUUAAGGGUGCAUUUGGGAAUGGCCAUGGGAAGGAGUUUUGAGUGUCCAAAGCCUAUUUGGCCAAAUAUUGGGUGCUUGGUUAAAUUAUUGAAACCCAUCUUGAGAGAAAGUUUGCCUUUAAAAAGGUGAAAGCCUAAGGUAGGUUCUAGGCUUCCUUGGGCUUUUAGCAUUCUUGAAAGGCCCUCUCAAGGGUUUAGUAUAUAAAUUUUGUUCCAAAACUAUCCUCACUCAAUUUUUAUCUUUUUGUUUUUGGCCUCGUGAUUCAUUGUUCAUCUUAUUCUCCAUUGAGUCGGUUGGCUUGGUUGCGUGUGGCUGCGAUGGGUCGGUGAUAGGCUAGAGAGAGGUUGAUGUGGUCACGGCUAUCCUGGCGAUCGUCACUUGCCAGUUGCACGACCUCUACGAGUUGCAGUGACCCCCCACAAAUCGCGUCAUUGUGACCCAAAUCUAGUGCGUCACCUUUGUGAAGGGCCGCUUGAGGUCACGCGACCAAGCAGACCUUGUUGAGGUCGCACAACCUCCGGCGACCUAGAUUUGGGUCACAUGACCCCUUGCUAGUCACGGCGACCAAAAUCUAGAUCUCACGGCCUCCGUGAAGGUCACUUGAGGUCGCAUGAUCAGUUGACCCUCAUUGAGGUUGCAUGACCCCAGGCGACCCUCGCCGAUCAUCUCUUAUAACCUUAGAUGUCGAUUGCCAACAACAAAUUUCAAUCACCGGCGACCCCUUGCCCUUGCUGGCCAACUUUUUUAUUUUUCUUUUGACGAAUUUUUUUUAAUUACAAAGGUUCUUUAUAAAUAUAAUCUCUCCAAAUAUUAUUUUGCUUAAAAAGUACUUCACAAUGGAUUUUCAGAUUACAAUUUAACAAAUACAAUUUACAUUUUAGAAAACUUUUUUUUAACUUAAAGUCCUUUACAUUUUCUCAAAAACUUUUCCCCUAAGUCCAACGACACACCCUAAAACUUAUCAACUUUAGGUAGUCAAGUCCUUCAGUUAACUUCGGUCAAUUUGGCUAAUGAAAAAUGUUGGCGUGACUUCUUUUUAAUAUUUCCUAUCUCAUAAGUGGCGACGACAUGAUUAAAAUAUAAAACAUAAUGCUAAAAUGAUGUCAAUCUGAUUUUUAAUACAAAUUUCAUUUAUAAUAAAUUAAAAAUAAGCUAAAUUGAAAUCCUAAUUCUGCUAGCCGCCACGCGAUGAACGUCGUCCCAUCCUCGUUCCACGAAAUCAAAUCGUCCACCGACGGAUCAUUCAUGAGCAUGUAAGUCUUCCUGAGAAACGGAAGCGACCUCUGGGAGUCGCCAACUACUGGCGAAUCCCCGGUCUGCUCCCCCGGCAUCGGUCCCCAUGGGUGCCUCUCAAAUUCCAAGCCCCAAGACACCUGGAGAGACUCCGAACCGGACGGUAUCUAUUCGGGUCAGCUCGUGGAUGAUGCUGUAUUUUACGCUGAACCACAAAAUCAAUGCACACGAAGUAUCCUCCCGCCAAUUUGAUUAAGAAAAAGAAAAACCGAAAAAGAGAAUAAAAGAAACUAUUCCUCCAUCUAGUGAUGUUCGUCCUAUGCGAGAAUUAAUAAAACAAAUCCUUUUCGUGUCCCUUGCCUUGAAGCAACAUAUAGAGCAUUAAAAUUGAUAAAAGAGAAUAGGACAAAUGAAAAUACAGGCUACCUAGGAUAGUGGAACGAACGUCGUAGAAAAAGAGCAUAUAAUGCAGUGAAGAUGCGAUUAAAAGGAGAAUAAGUGCCACUAGAACAACAUGACCUGGAAAGGGCAAUCGAAAGCCUUGAUGUUUUAUUUGAUAGAACCAUGUCAAACGCUUGGGGCUUUGAGUGUAAGAAAUUUGGUGGGGGAUCAAUAUCUUGGGAGNNNNNNNNNNNNNNNNNNNNNNNNNNNNNNNNNNNNNNNNNNNNNNNNNNNNNNNNNNNNNNNNNNNNNNNNNNNNNNNNNNNNNNNNNNNNNNNNNNNNAAAAGGGUGGUGGGGGUUCGGGUAUGACAAAAACACCUGGGGCACGGCCCAUUCUUCUUAACCAUUGUUUCCCCCCUCUUUUUUUUUUUUUUUUCUCUCUCUACGAUCAGGAUGCUCUGGGUUUCUGACGUCUUAUUCGUCAACCCCACCGCUUUCCUUUGAAUUCCCAACUCAAUUUAUAUUUAGGGGAGCUUGAUGUGGUCUGCACAUUCAUCUCUCUCUUUAUAGCCCAAGGUUAAAGGUAUUGGAGAAGGACGGACUCAUCUAGAAUUUUGUUAAAUGCAGAGCCUCCUCCUGGGAUCUGAAUGAGGCCGGAAACUCCCCAAGCAAGCCUCCUUCCACUCUAAUUGGGCUGUGAUUUCUUGCCCAACUCGACAACUAUAUGUUUUCCAGAGGAAGACUCGACACAUCGUGUAGGCAUGUGAAGAGGCACUUCUUUUUUUCUAGUGUUUCCCAUGGAAAUUUUGUGCAGCCAGCAGUUUACGACGACUAAAAAGAAAGACAAACGUGGGAAAUUUCCCGAACAGAACCGUGCUUCCCAGUGGCGAUAUGUUUUGAACUGCUUCAGAGCAUCUCUUUAGUUGCAGAGGCAAAUGUGCUAGAAAAUCCACCAUGUUCAGGUAAACGUAAGCAAUUUAAGAUGGUGAAUGCAGGUAAAACUAAAUUUGAUAAAGCAACCAGAAUUUUAUCUUUAUGUAAGGUUAAAUUCAGAUUCUAUAUAGUCGUUGAAAAUACAUAAGCUUCCAUGCAAAACUCAUCCUGUCCAAACAUAGGAACCCGGAACUAUCCACAUUUUCAAUAGGCAAAUCAGCGCCUUCACCUGUGACUUCAGCUUCCGAAGGAUAUAUAAAAAAAAAAACCAAANNNNNNNNNNNNNNNNNNNNNNNNNNNNNNNNNNNNNNNNNNNNNNNNNNNNNNNNNNNNNNNNNNNNNNNNNNNNNNNNNNNNNNNNNNNNNNNNNNNNCGCCCCGUGGAAAGAGUAUGCCAACCCACUCAAAGUCGAGUAAUCCUUUCAACAUUUUCGCCCCCAUACGAAAUUCCUGAAUCUCACGACUUUUACCGGGUCGUAAGAAACUACCCCUCUAGAUAAAUUCUAUUUCAAAUUAUUUUGGUAAAUGUUGUUAUAGCUUACAUAUUACACAAGACUCCUGGUAUAAAUACAAAGGUUCUAGUAAUGUUGUGAUAAUGUCAAUAAUCUCCAAAAAGUUGGUAAUUUAUAAUUUUGUCAGAAUGUUAGUAAACUACUUGUAGUGCUGGUAGUUGAUAGACUGCAGUUGUAAAACUUGAGAAAACUUGGUAAAAGACUAAAUCAAUUAGGAGAUUGGUCAAUUCAUAGUGGUAUAAAACACCACUUGCGAAAUUUAAAGAAGUUCAGGAGUUAGUAUUGGAAUAUUAGUAUAUUUAUUAUAUCAAGGGUAAAUCAGCGGCGAUACUUGUAGAAUUUAGUUCUUUGUUUGGUCAUUCCUAAAAUUCUUGCAAGAAAAUUAUCGGUCACAGUUGUUUACCAAGAAUAUUGGGAAAUUACAACCAAGGCGAAAAUUUUCUAGUUUUGAAUCCGUUUGCCUACUUCCCUACCUGUCCCCUCAUCAUAUAAGAAUUGGUGGCCUGUCGAUGUUGAGGCCCAUUUAAAUCUGUCCGAACCAGCACUCAUUAACGGGGAAAAGAAGUCAAGUAGAAAUCAUAUUUAGGCUGAAAAGAGAGAGACAGCAGAAAGCAACGUUUGGCCUAGAAGAUAUAGUAGAAGGAGUGGUGUUUUGAGAAUAGACCUCACAAAGUGCUAAUUACAUUACCUGAAUAAGCAAGCUCAUGGAAAGGAAGAGAUCAUAUGAGCACAAGUUCUAAGUACACCCAAAAUGAAGAGCUAAAGGCAGGAGAGAGAGCACGAGAUUGCUCAUUUCUUACGUGCUUCUUAAUAGUUUCAAUCUCCUCAACUUGGCUACCUUUACUACUAUUGCCACACAUGCCUUGUGUGCUGCUUGAUCCACAAAACUAAAAUCUGCCCAUCUCCAAUCCUUCUUGAACUGCAAAACUCUGAAAAAGUCCUAGAACUCAAUUGCAAAUCCAAGCAUUACGAACGCAUAGAACAAUGCCCUAUCAAGCUUAUCCUCUUCAUAUGUAUCUUCAGAAUGAGAGACUUGCUGUGGUUGAGGCAUCUCGACACUAAGGCAUUUUUUUCUCAGAAGAUUACCAUAGAGUAGAGGAUUGCCAACAUAAAUAGAAGGAUGGUCGAGUGUUUGGAUUUGAUUCCCUUUUGGAAUCUGCCCCAUAAGGUCAUUUUGCGACAGAUUGAGGUGGGCUAGGGAUUUUAACACUAAAAUGCCCUGUGGAAUUAUCCCUAAGAGAUGUUCGUUUAAAAGAUCAAUAGACUUGAGUGACCUCAUAUUCCCAAUGCCAAUGGGAAUAUCUCCAAAGAGAUGGUUGUGAGACAAGUUCAAGCCAUGCAAUCCCGAGAGGAAAGAAAGUUCUUCGAGGAUUGACUUGUUCAGAAAGUUGCUAGAGAGAUCCAAAUUGAUCACAAGUUGCAGAAAAUUUUUGGUGUACUCAUUAUAUUUUCCCUUCAAGAUCUCAACCACAUGCUCUUGAUCCCAAUCUGGAUCUUCGCCUUCAAAUGUGAAGGAAAUUAUAUCUUGCAUAGGAGUAACGACCAUAGAUCCAAAUGGAUUGCCUUGAUUCAAGUUGAUCAUGCUGCUCGUAUUGCUAAGACAAUGUGGGAUCAUUCCCAUCAAAUUGUUUACUAGCCACGUUUAAUAUUUUCAAUUUUGAUAGUGAGCAAGGCUGUGGAGGAUACUGUCGACAAACUUUUUCUCUCGUAGCCUCAAGAUCAACAAGGAUGGAAAGCCUUCGUCAAACCACAUUGGAAUGCUUCCAAACAAAUUAUUCUCUCCAAUGUCUAAAAUCACUAGAUCUGUGUAAUAAUAUAAAGCCUAAGGAAGCUCCCCGUUGAGACAGUUUUCGUUCAAGUGUAGGGUGGUAAGGUGGGGGCAAUGAUCCAAGUGAGCUAGGAAUUACUCCAAACAACUUAUUGAAUGACAAAGUCAAGAAUGAUAAAAAAAAAAAACCCUUCCAAUAGUCUGGAAUAUUGCCAAAUAGGUUAUUAUUGGCAAGAUUUAAAUCAAACAACUCCAUGUUGCAUAAUGAUGACAGUAGAGUACCAUUGAUUAGGUUAUCAUUGAGAUAUAGAGUAUGUACUUGGUACAUGAUACCGAUAUCUGUUGGAAGAGAUCUAGAGAUCAAGUUGUGGAAGAGAUCUGAAUAGGAACAGUUAAUAAACAUGUUGGGCAAGGGUGUAGUAAUCUGACUCUAGGAUAGAUCGAGCUGGGAAAAUGUCAAGUUGGCCGACCAUUUAAACAAGGGCCUAGUAAUCUGAUUGUAAGAUAGAUUGAGUUGGUAAAACAACUAUUUUGGAAAGGGCUCAACAAUUUGAUUGUAAGAUAGAUCAAGCUCGGAAAACAUCAAGUUGGCUAAACAAUUCAGCAAGGGCCCAAAAAGGAGCACAUUGGUGAGUGUGAUAUGUACAGCUUCCGCUUGUGUCUAAAUCCAUCGGGGAAAUUUUGUUCCAAAUUUAUAAGAGUUCAUCGAAAUAAUUACCAGUUGGAAAGGGGGUACCCAGCAGGGUUUUGCCUCAAAACUCAAGUUAGUAUUGUCACCAAUGUACAACUCCAUGAGCCUUGACAAAUUAGGAAAAUAGAUUUCAGUAAUCACACUUUCAAAAUAAUCACUUUUAAGAUACAAGUGUUACAAAGCUCCCAAUUCCCCUCAUGACUCAGAAUAUGCCCUACCAAUUCAUUAUAGGAAAGAUCUAACUAUCUCAAUGACGACAAUCAACCUAUUGAUGGUGGAAUGGUCCCAUUCGACCCACUAACUGAAAGAUCUAGUGUUUCCAAGUUUGACAUUGAUCCGAUGACACUACGGAUUAAACAGGAGAAGAAAUUGUUGAAAAGCAUAAUACUUUUUGAGUUUGUGAAGUGGUCCAACCAAUCAGGUAGAGCACCCUUAACAUGAUUUGAAGCCCUUCAAAAUCCCAAACUAGGCUUGCUAAUGGUACUGUGUUCUGUUUACAAUGACAGUUGCCUGCUUCAUAUAGCAAACUCAGAUAAUCAUGACUUGGCAAGCCUACCUAGCCAACAUCUUUCGCCCCAUAACUGGAAGGAAUUCACUGGGCCAAUAGAGAAACUCAUGGCCUCAAGAUUUUUUUGUAGAACCCACAAGAAACUGUACAAAGAAGUCACCUUGGAGAAUUGAGAACUUGAAGACUGAUAUACCAGACAGUAUUCCACUUACAGCCACUCCCCAUUUACUUAACUAAAAGCCAGACCAGCGGUAGAACCUGCACUGUAGUAUAAUGCCACAUUGCAAAUGAAGCUGCUAAUUUAAAAACCAAAGACAUUUGGCAAACUCACAGUCAUCAAGAAAUCCAAGGUCCUUGCUUUGCUUAUAACAAUUGUUGGUUGGAUAAUCAACCUCGGGCUCCAAUACCAGUUGAGAAAAUGGUAAGCAUUUAGUGGUGACACACUCAUCCAAAUGCCGUCCUCCUAACCGUAAGGUCUUGCUCUUAUCAUGGCCUUUACAUACAGAGGAC
rnacentral:lncRNA from 1 species